CAGCCGGAGCCGCUCGAGGCUUGGCCUGCAUUCACGACUCAUGCGGGCCGCUUAAGCUCACCCACGGUAACAUCAAGUCCACCAACAUCCUCUUAGACAACACUGGCAACGCCAGAGUCUCCGACUUCGGACUCUCCGUUUUCGUGCCUCCUCCGCCCUCCACGUCGUCCGCUCCGCGAUCUUGCGGUUACCGCGCUCCCGAGACGUUGGACGGUCGGAAAUUGACGCAGAAAUCAGACGUGUACGCUUUUGGUGUUCUGCUGCUGGAGCUGCUCACGGGGAAGUGUCCCUCUGUGGUGGAUAAUGGCGGGUCCGGGGGAGGAUUCGGUGGGCUUGUGGACCUGCCCAGGUGGGUCCAGUCUGUGGUCAGGGAAGAAUGGACGGUGGAGGUGUUUGACUUGGAGCUGAUGAGGUACAAGGAUAUUGAGGAGGAGAUGGUGGGGCUUUUGCAGAUUGCAAUGGCUUGUACGGCCGCUUCGCCUGAUCAACGUCCCAGGAUGAGCCAGGUGGUGAAAAUGAUUGACGAGAUUCGGGGCCUGUCUGGUUCGCCGAGUCACGAGACCGGCUUUGAAUCCAUGUCCGAGUCGUCGGCCUUGUCGGAGGACACUUGCGGAGCAAGUCAGUGAUCGCACCAGCAACCAUUUUUAACGUUCUUGUGUUGUAAAUCUACGGGUUUUGUUUUGUUGGCUUCAGUUCCCUUGCCUUCUUAUUUAAUCUCAAAUUUUCGUUUAUGCUAAUUUAAUUACAUCGAUUGCAACGAUUUUAUAGAGCUUAAAUCGGAAUCGUUUAAUUAAAUUGAUUUAGGAUUUAGAUUUAACAAAAAGGAAAUGUAACAAUCUGAAUCUAUGUGCUGAAAUACAUGAUCUGCGUUGCAAGUCUCAGCAGUUUAUCCAAAGUAUCAGGCAUGAACUUUCUGGCGAAUAAGAAACAAACAUCCGUGCUCCUCCCAUUGUAUUCACAUUUCCGACCAUAACCACUCCUCAGGCUACUCAGAAGCGCCGCCGUCAGGUUUGGGCUCCUGUACUCCGUCGGGUGUGGGCCGCCCUUGCUCCAGUCAACCCAGGUCAAAGUCCUAUUUGCAUUCCUUGCUGCAAAUUUCAAGUGCACAAAUGUUGGCAAAUAAUGUUCAUCCGGAAAGCAAUAGCCUUUGCACUUGAGGAAUUCCGGGAAGUAUUUUCGAUCCGAGAUGGAUUCAAUGGCAACCUCUCUAUCAAUUGCAAACCACGCCCACCCUUUUCUCCAUUGAUCUACCGUGAUUCUCGUGUAGUUGCUGAGAUAGUACCGGCCACGUCCAACCGAACUUGGGUCAUCGAAGACCUCUACGAAAGUUCGGGUUGAGUUGAUGAGGUAGGAGUAGACAGUGGAAAAGUUGUAGAGGGGAAUGCAUGUCUCUGAGAGGAGAACAAAAUGUUGGUUUGAGAUGUUGAGAAGAGCAUUCGCCAAUAGGCGGCGCAGCCUCAAUCAAGCUCGCCUUCCCCCAUUCCACUUCCUGCAAAACAUGUUGUAGGACUGAACAUUGUAACAAGAUCAAGUCAAGCAAAAAACUUAUCACCUGACUAGGAAUUCUUCGCUCAUGAAACACCGGACUUUCAGGAUGCGAUGCUGCCUCGUAGGAUGGACUUGAGUGCACAUAAAUUGAGUACAAGCCUUGAUGCCCUUUGAAGAAAUUUUCCCAUAACAGGGCCAAAUGAACAGGUCCCUUUGUCAAGAACAUGAAAGCAACCUUGGGAACAAGAUGGAUUGGAUACUCGAGAAUCCGAGGGCUCAUCGAAGCUCUCCAUAGCAAUUCCGAGACGUUCAUGUCAUGAAACACCUUUGGCGGCCUCAGAUAUUUCUUUAAAUAUCCUCCUGUUAUGUUAGGUUGGGUUGCACAUAUUUUGCUCAUAUUGUUAGAUCGUAUUUGGGAUGCAAAGGUUUGGCUCGUAUUAGAAUUGGAUGCUGUGGGGGGCUGCCGUUACAUUUUCCAGUUUCGGAGUUGAAUUUUGUACUGCCGAAGUUACACCAGGCAUUAGCAUUUGUGAAGGAAUAUUGGAUGGAAGAGAUGAUGAGAUAGCUGAGAUGGGUAGGCUGGCUAACUGAGGAUUCAAUGGGUAGUAUUCUUUGAGAUUGCUAGGUACAACCCCGAGGGUAAAACCACCAACAAAGAGCAGGACAUCCGAGACUUUUGUAAACAAGCUGGUAGGGUUUCGAUCUUGACGAGCCAUCAUUUUGGAGAAUCACAAGAGAGACGAGAUUUGGUGUGAAGAGAUCUCCCUUAAUAUAGUUGUAGCUGCGCAUCUUUGUAUUGCGAUCAACCUUUCUGCAACGGGGAAAGGAGUGUUUCAGUUAAUUUUUUCGUUUCAAGGAAAAUGGAUUUGUUUGCGGUACAUUUACAGAGACGAAAAUUUCAUUUCACCGUUAAUUUUACUUUAAUCUGAAUUUUGUUUCUUGCAAGGUUGCUUCAUUUCACAGACCAAACACAAAUAAGAUUGAUUACCAAUAAUAUAUUUUAGUUAGAGGGCUUAUUGUUUGUUGUUAGUUUACGAUUACAUCGCCUAAUUGAUAAAUUCUGGUGAGUUAGUUUUGGUUCCUGGAGGCAGACAAGAAAAAAUGAAAGCAGAGAACACAGAAAAUCGGGAGGAAUGUGAAAGGUUUCUUAUCUGUGAAGUAAUCACAGAUAUUUCAAUAAAUAUCAACUUAGGAUAUUUCCUUACAAGCUAAUCUAGAGCAAUCUCAGCCCUUGAUUCAAAACAAAGAUCUAAAGCAUACACUUGUCUUAUGAGACUAGACAUACACUUUUCUAUUGAUUUCUUUCUUCUUAAACACUUGAACAAAACUGAAUUCUAUUUAAUUCCAACACUCCCCUUUAAAUGAAUUCUGGUUUUGAUCCCAAGCAUUCCUCUGAGAUAGACAAACCUUUCCCUCGGUAGAGCUUUGGUGAAGAUGUCGGCCAUUUGAUCCUGUGAUUUGCAGUAGAUCAGUUCAAUGGUAUUCUCCUGCAAGGCUUCCCUUAUGAAGUGAAACUUCCUUUUGAUAUGCUUGGUUUUCUGAUGAAAAUAGGAUUCUUGGUCAUAUGCUAUUGCUGUUGAUGGUUGUCACACAUAAGUGGUGAAGCAUCACUUGCAUUUCACCAAAAUCCUUUAACACAAACCUCAACCAUAUAUGCUUGGGAGGUAGCCAUUGCAGCACUCACAUACUCUGCUUCAGCCGUAGACAAUGCAACACUUUGUUGCUUGACAGAAGCCCAAGAAAAUAUCCCUGAACCGAAUGUAAAUGCAUAUCCUGAGGUACUUCUCAUGUCAUCUUCACUGCCACCCCAAUCACUGUCACAGAAGCCUACCAGAAUUGCUUUUUCUCCCUUUCAUAUUUGAUUCCAUAGUCCAAGGUCCCUGAGAUAUACCUUAGUACUCUCUUAGCAGUUCCCAUGUGAAUUCUCGUGGGAUUAUGCAUAAACCUUGAUAAGAGACUGGCUGCAUACAUAAUGUCAGGUCUUGUAGCAGUCAAAUAAAGCAGACUUCCAACCAUCCUUCGGUAAUAAGCAUUCAUUCAGCAAUUCAGAACCAUCCACUUCUACAAAGUUUUCAUGUGAUCAAUGGGUUGCCACAGAUUUGCAUCCUUUCAGAUUGAAUCUUUCAAGCAGUGAUUGUGCAUACUUCUGCUGAUGUAUGAAAAUCCCAGUAGCUUCUUGUAUUACUCCAAUUCCCAAGAAGUGAUGCAACAAGCCAAGAUCCGACAUCUCAUAUUGUCUCAUCAUUUCCCUUCUAAAUUCUUCAAUCAUUUCUUCACAAUUACCAGUAAAGACCACAUCAUCAACAUAUAUAGACACAAUAAGCAUCUCAGAGUUCUCACCAGUUUUUGUAUAUAAUGUAGCUUCACUAGGACUUUUGUUAAAUCCACUUUUGCUGAAAUAGGAGUCUAUCUCACUGUACCAAGCCCUGGGGGCUUGUUUGAGUCCAUACAGUGCUUUGUUUAACUUGUAGACCUUAUCCUCUUUAUUUGGCACUUCAAAUCCUUGUGGUUGAUCCACAUACACUUCUUCCUCCAAAAUGCCAUUUAGAAAAGCUGAUUUGACAUCUAACUGGUGAAGUUUCCAUCCCUUUUGGGCAGCAAGAGCAAUCAAGGUUCUAAUGGUGUCUAACCUUGCCACUGGGGCAAAGGUUUCAUUGAAAUCUACCCCAGGUUGUUGUGAGUAGCCCUUGGCAACUAAUCUUGCUUUGUUCUUUUGUAUUGAUCCAUCCAAAUUCAGUUUGAUCUUGUAAAUCCGUUUCACACCUAUCACAGGUUUAUCACUCGGUCUAUUUACCAAUUUCCAAGUAGAGUUUUUCUCAAUCAUGGCAAUUUCUUCACUCAUUGCUUUCUGCCAGGAUUGAUCCUUCUCAGCUUCUUCAAAACUCUCUGGUUCAACAACACAAUAGUUACACACUGCAUAGAUCUCAUUUAAACUCCUCAUUCUCACUGGAGUUGUUUCAGGGAGGAAUCCUGUAAUUCUUGUCCUUCUGCAUUUGAAGUAGAGGACUGAGAUCCUUGUGUUGGAGUUGAAAAGUCAGUUUGACUCUCAUCUUGUAUAACAGGUUCAUUCACAUUUUGCACUUCAGCUUGUGCUUCUUCCAUUGCUAGUGGAAAUGAGAUAGUGUCUAUGUUAUUGGUUUCCCAAUUCCAUGCUUCAUUCUCCUUGAACACCACAUCCCCUUGAGAGAAUCACUUUGCGUGACUCAAUAUUGUAGAGCCUAUAGCCCUUUUCACAGCUUCCAUAACCUACAAGGACACACUUGACACUAUUGAUCUCAAGCUUGUGUCGUAGUUGAGAUGGUAUCUGUGCAUAGCAGAUUGAUCCGAACACCUUCAAGUGCUUCACACUUGGUUUUCUGCCACUAAAUGCCUCAAACGGUGUUUUCUUCUCAAGUGCUUUAGUUGGACACCUGUUUAGGAGAUACACAGAUGUAUUGACAGCUUCACCCCAAAAAGAAAGUGGCAUUUUCUUAUCAUGGAGCAUUGACUUGGUCAUUUCAACCACGGUCCUGUUCUUCCUCUCAGCCACACCAUUCUGCUGUGGUGUGUAGGCCACUGUCAAUUGCUUCUGCAAUCCUGCUCCUUCACAGAAUUCUUGGAACUCAAGUGAAGUGAAUUCACCACCUCUGUCGCUUCUUAGUCUUUUGAUCUUGAGACCACUCUGAAGUUCAACCAUCAUUUUGAAUUUCUUGAAGAUUGAAAAGACUUCACUCUUGUUUCUCAUAAGAUAUACCCAAACCAUCCUGGUGCAGUCAUCAAUGAAUAGCAGAAAAUAUCUGUUCCCACUGAGUGUAGGUGUCUUCAUUGGACCACACACAUCUGUGUGUAUGAGUUCUAGAGGUUGACUUGCUCUCCAUGCACUUCCAGUUUCAAAAGAGUCCCUGUGAUGCUUCCCCAAUAUGCAACCUUCACACGGUUCUUUAGUCUCUUGUAACUCAGGAAGACCAGUCACCAUUUGUAGUUUCUCCAAUCUCUUUAAACUGUGAAAGUUGAGAUGUCCGAACCUCUUAUGCCAUAACCAAGAGUUUUCUGCAACACUUGCUUUUAGGGCAAUUGAAUCAUUGUAAUCUAGCAUAAGUGGAAAGCUUUUGUUUUCUGUCAUGCCAACUUGUGUUACCAAGUUUUGGAGGCUUCUGUUAUCAAAGAUCUCUACCAUAUUGUCUCCAAAAAGUAAGAAGUAACCAUGAGCAAUCAUCUGUCCCACACUAAGGAGAUUCUCAUCAAGACCUGGCACAAGUAUUACAUCAUUGAUGAAUCUUCUUCCACCCUUUGUCUCUAGAACAAGAGUUCCUUUUCCAGUAGCUUCCACUAGUUGUCCAUUCCCCAUUUUAACUCUGCAAUUGAAGCUUCUGUCAAUGUUGAUCAGCAAGGAUUCAUAUGCAGUCAUGUGAUUACUGCAUCCACUGUCAAUAUACCAGAUUCCUCUCUUGUUUUCAGUUUUUGCAACACUACAAGCAUAAAAGACAUUUACUUCCUCUUCUUCUGCUCUAUGUGCAUAGUUGACAACUUGGUUCCUUCUUGGAUUACAAUCUUUUGCUAGAUGGCCAAAUCUGUCACACUUGGUGCAUUUUGGGUUUUCCCUUGAACCAGCAAACACCAUAGUGUAAUUUGUCACAGAUUUUACACUUGGUUUUGGUAGACUCACUGCUAGAUUCUGAUUUUGAUUGUGAAGUAUGGUUGUUGUCCCAUUUCUUCCCUUUGCCUUUCCAUAAUUUCUUUUGAUUUGAGUUGCUCCCCUGACCCCUGUAACUGCUAUCUCUCUCAGUCACACUUAGGCUAGUAAAAGCCUUUUCAGCUAAGUUUUCAGAAUGCAUAUUUAACCUCUGCUCAUAGCCUUUCAAUGUACCAAUCACUUCUUGAACCUCAAUGGAGUCAAGGUCUUUAGUUUCUUCUAUAAUAGAUGCGAUGGAAUCAUAAGAUUUAGGCAAGCUAAUAAGUAUCUUUUGCACUAAUCUUUGAUUUGUGUCAGUUCUUCACCAAGAGUUUUCAUUUGAUUCACAAUAUCAGUCAAUCUUGUUAAAUUAAACAGAUAGAGCUUCACCAUCAUUCAUCCUAGUAUACUCAAAAUCUCUUCUUAAACAUUGUAGUUUGACAGACCUAACCUUUUUGUCACCACGAAAUUCUUGUUGAAGAACAUCCCAUGCAGUCUUGGAGGUUUCAAAGUUUGAGAUUCGAGGAAAGAUCUCAUCAGACACUGCCCCUUGAAUGAUACCAAGAGCUUUUGCAUCUCUGGUUUCAUUAACUUUCAUUGCUAUCUUCCUCACAGACUGUUGAUCUUCAUCGCUAGAAUCAUCUUCAGUUUCUGCAGUUUCAUAACCCUUGUCCACCAAAGUCCAGAGAUCAUGUGAUUUGAAUAUGGUCUUCAUCUUGAUGGACCAAAAAUCGUAGUUGAUCCCAUUGAAAAUAGGAGCCCUCAGAUCUCCUCCACUGCUCGAAGUAACCAUGUGAGGCUUUGUAAGAACAGAUGAGAUUUUCACGAUCCGGGUAUGUUUUUCCCCCUUUUCUUUUCAGAGAUACGAAGCACACACAAAACGCCCAGUCCUGAAUUUGAUCAGAACCUAAGCUCUGAGGCCAUGAUAAAUUCUGGUGAGUUAGUUUUGGUUCCUGGAGGCAGACAAGAAAAAAUGAAAGCAGAGAACACAGAAAAUCGGGAGGAAUGUGAAAGGUUUCUUAUCUGUGAAGUAAUCACAGAUAUUUCAAUAAAUAUCAACUUAGGAUAUUUCCUUACAAGCUAAUCUAGAGCAAUCUCAGCCCUUGAUUCAAAACAAAGAUCUAAAGCAUACACUUGUCUUAUGAGACUAGACAUACACUUUUCUAUUGAUUCUUUCUUCUUAAACACUUGAACAAAACUGAAUUCUAUUUAAUUCCAACACUAAUUGCAACCUAAUUAGGUGUCUGGACAAGUUGCUUCACAUUGCUUGUUUGAUUUGUUGCUAAGAACAUGAAAGCAACCUUGGGAACAAGAUGGAAUGGAUGUCCGCGAAUCCUAGGACUCAUUGAAGCUCUCCAUAGCAGUUCUUCAACGUUCAUGUCGUGAAACGCCUUUGGUGGCUUUAGAUAGUCCGUAAAUCCUACAAUAUGUGAGGUUUGGCUGUAAAUGUUCGGCUCGUAUUGCAUGUUGCGGCUGUUACAUUUGGGAUUAUCAUUUGUGAAGUAGUGAGGGUAUAAGUAUAGGAGAUAGCUGGAAAGGAUAAUUGUAAGUCUUUCUGAUUGCUAAGUGCAAUUCCAAGGGUUAAACCGCAAAAACAUAGAAAGAAAUAAGAAAGCAGAUUGAAGAGGUUGUAUUGGACGCCAAAGAGUUUGGGAAACUACUUUACUGGAUUUGAAUCUGGACCCUUCAUCAUUUCAGAGAACAAGAGACUGAAGACAUAUGUCCUUCUAGGCUCUAGCUAUAUAUCUUACUUAUAUUUUGUGUCUUCUGUAAGUGGCUGCACAAAACUCUCCUUUUGCGUUACGAUCGACCUUUCUGCAACGGAAAACGGAGUGUUUGGGUUCAUUUUUGUAUGCAAGGUAAAAUGUAUUGCUUUGUGUUGAAGUUAUAGAGAUGAGAAGUCCAUAUCACCAUUAUUUUUACUCUUAACCAUAAAUUAUUUUUGGUGCGAGGUGCUUCAUUGCAGACCAAAAACAAAGGAACCAUUUUACCAGUGAGCGCAACGAUUGUGUCUUUUCUCGCAACCUAUUUACCUGGAAUCUAGAAGAUCAUGAAACUCAAAAUCGCAACGGAAGCGCAACGAUUGUGUGUCUGUUCUCGCAAGAUCUAUUGAAGAAUGUUAAUUAUUGACUCAAACAUGUAGUCAAAGUCCAAAUCUUUGGGCUACUUUUGUGGUCAAAAAUUGUUGGUUGGCAUGCUACAUGUGGGAAACAAAAAUUACAUGCAAUUGUGCCUAACUCUUUUUGACUUGAUGUUAGGCCUUUGGUCAUUGAUGUCUUUGAGAAGCUUUUCUUUGGCUAUAAAAGGAGAGCAAGGUGCAACCCAUAAGCAUGGAGAAGUAGAGAAGAACAAGGAAGAGAGAAAAAUAGCAAGAAGCCAUUUGGCAUAGAGAAGAAUUUUCUCAAAUUGUCUUGCUUUGUAUUUUUGGUUUUCUCUUCCUAUUGUAAGUGUGAGAGCUUGGGGUUAUUUGGGUCUUUGGGAAAUUGAGUGAUAAACACUAUUGUAUGUUCUCAUUGAUUAUAGUGGAAUACUCCGUCGUCUCCAAACUGGAUGUAGGCAUUGCCGAACCAGUAUAAAUCUUGGUGUUCUUGUUGGUGUUGUUUUUAUUCUGUUCUGUCUUACUAUUCACUUACAGUCGUACGCCGCUUCCGCACAACAAGUGGUAUCAGAGCCCAGUUUCGUGAAUAGUGUUGGUGCUACAGUUCUGUGAACAGUGAACUGCUACAGUAUCUGUGAACAGUAUUGUACAUGUGAACAGUACCGUAUUUGUGAACAGUGCCGAGUAGAUGGCUGGAGAUAAAGAUGAAUCUGUAAGGAAGGAGUCAGCAUCGUCUUCGUCUACAUCCAAUAGACAUCCAACCACUACUACAAGGUUAGAGGUUGAUAAAUUCAAUGGCUCUAAUAAUUUUGGUAUGUGGCAAUGUGAAGUUAUGGAUGUGUUGUAUCAACAAGAGUUAGAUAUGGUUCUGGAAGAUAAACCAGAAGAUAUUGAUGACAAGCAGUGGACGCGAAUUAAUCUUCAUGCUUGUGCUGCUAUUCGAUCAUUCCUUGAUAAGGAGUUGAAAUACCCGUAUAUGAAGGAAACUUCUGCUAAGGAGUUAUGGACGAAAUUGGAGGAGAAGUAUAUGACCAAGAGCGCAGAAAAUCGUCUCUUCUUGAAGAAGCGACUCUUCCGAUUUCAGUAUCGUCCAGGUAUCUCUAUGCACGAACACCUCAAUGAUUAUAAUAAAAUACUUGCUGAUUUAGCAAACCUUGAUGUGAAAAUUCCUGACGAGGACAAGGCACUAUGUUUGUUAAAUUCAUUGCCUGAUGAUUAUGAUCAUUUGACAACUACUAUGUUGUAUGGAAAAUCCGAGGUGAAACUUGAUGAGGUGUCUGCGGCAUUGGUGAAUCAUGAGUGUCGUAAGAAGGAACUGAAGACUCACAAUUCACAAACCGAGGCAUUUGUUGCAAGGGGUCGAACAGAGGAAAGAAAAAUCUGGGAAGCGGGGAAAAUCUCGUUCAAAGUCACGAGGGAAGUUUCCUGCUAAAGAUGAAUGUGCUUUUUGUCGCCAAAAGGGGCAUUGGAAGAAAAGACUGCCCCAAAUUGAAGAACAAAGAGAAGGAGAAAGCGGGUUCUGAAGCAAAUAUUGCAAAAUCUGGAGAUGAUGAUUUCGAGUUUGCUUUGGCUAGUUCAUAUGCUGAUGGUCACUCAAAAUGAGUGGAUUUUGGAUUCAGGUUGCACCUAUCAUAUGUGUCCCAUUCGAGAAUGGUUUUCUAAUUUCAAGGAGCUGGAUGGUGGAGUUGUUUUUGAUGGGUAAUAAUAAUGCCUGCAAAACACAAGGGAUAGGCAAAAUCUGUUUGAUGAAGAUGCAUGAUGGAACAGUCAGAGAAUUAAGUGAUGUUCGGUAUGUACCGGAUAUGAAGAAAAAUCUCAUCUCACUGGGUGCAUUGGAAUCCAAGGGUCUCAAGAUCACCAUGGAGGGUGGAGUUCUUAAAGCUGUGUACGGGGCACUGGUGGUGAUGAAAGGUACAAAGACGAAAUAACUUGUAUUUCUUGCAGGGGAAUACAGUUAUUGGUGGAGCAGCUGUCACCGAAGCUGCUGACGCAGAUAGCACAGACACCACGAGGUUAUGGCAUAUGCGUCUUGGGCAUGCUGGUGAAAAAGCGUUGCAAGGAUUGGUGAAGCAAGGCUUAUUGAAAGGUGCAAAGGCAUGCAAAUUGGAAUUCUGUGAGCAUUGUGUGUUGGGUAAGCAAACUAGAGUAAAAUUUGGCACUGCUAUUCACCACACUAAGGGCAUUCUUGAUUAUGUUCACACUGAUGUUUGGGGACCUUCCAAGAAUGCAUCUUGGGGAGGUAGCCAUUAUUUUGUCUCCUUUGUUGAUGACUUCUCUAGAAGAAUAUGGGUGUACACCAUGAAGCGUAAAGAUGAAGUCUUGAAGAUAUUCCUGAAGUGGAAAAAGAUGAUUGAAACGCAAAAGCGGUCGAAAGAUCAAGACUCUCAGAUCAGACAAUGGGGGUGAAUAUAAGUCUGAUCCUUUCUUGAAAGUUUGUCAAGAUGAGGGUAUUGUGAGGCACUUCACGGUUAGGGAGACACCGCAACAGAAUGGGGUGGCAGAGCGCAUGAACCGUACUUUGCUUGAGAAAGUUCGGUGUAUGUUGUCUAAUGCUGGAUUAGGCAAGGCGUUUUGGGCUGAGGCACUCACUUAUGCAAGCCAUCUCAUUAAUCGAUUGCCAGCUGCUGCGAACGAGGGCAAAACGCCCAUGGAGGUAUGGUCUGGUAAACCUUGUACUGAUUACAAGUUUUUACACAUAUUUGGUUGUCCUGCUUACUAUUAUGUCAGAGAAAGCAAGUUGGAUCCAAGAGCAAAGAAAACUCUAUUUAUGGGCUUUAGCACUGGCGUGAAGGGAUACCGACUCUGGUGUCCAGAUGAGAAGAAAUUUGUUGUAAGCAGAGAUGUGACUUUUGAUGAGGCUGCUAUGGUUAAUCAGAACAAGCAUGAAGGUGAAACUGAAGCGACCGAGACCAUGAGUAGCUCAAAGCAGGUGGAGUUACUGAAGACUCCAGUUGUUCCAGUAAGGUCUGAUGUUUCAAACACUAGUCCUACAGUUAAUUCUGAUGAUGAGGAUGAGGAUGAUGAAGAGGAGGCACCUACCCAAGAGCCUCCACAGCAACAAGACUAUAUUGCAACCAGAAGAUCGAGAAGGGAAAUCCGAAAGCCUGCUCGAUUUACUGAUAUUGUGGCAUAUGCACUUCCCGUUAUUGAAGAUGAUAUUCCAUCCGCCUACAAAGAAGCUGUCAUGAGUUCAGAGUGCGAGUUGUGGAAGAAAUCUAUGGAUGAGGAGAUGAAAUCUCUUCAUAAAAAUGAGACUUGGAAGCUGGUUCAGUUACCAAAGGGGAAGAAAGCAAUUGGUUGUAAAUGGGUGUAUGCCAAAAAAGAUGGAAUCUUUGGGAAAAGACAAUGUAAGAUUCAAAGCCAGAUUGGUAGCUAAAGGCUACGCUCAGAAGGAAGGCAUUGACUACAAUGAGGUAUUUUCUCCUGUAGUAAAACAUUCUUCUAUUCGUAUUCUGUUGGCUUUGGUUGUGCAGUUUGACCUUGAGUUGGCCCAACUUGAUGUCAAGACUGCGUUCUUACAUGGUGAUUUGGAGGAAGAGAUUUAUAUGUCUCAACCAGAAGGUUUUAAGGUUGCUGGAAAGGAAAAUUGGGUUUGCAAAUUGGAAAAAUCAUUGUAUGGCUUGAAGCAGUCUCCAAGACAAUGGUACAAGCGAUUUGAUCGAUUUAUGAUCGGGCAGAAGUACACAAGAAGUCACUAUGACCAUUGUGUAUACUUUCGCAAACUACAAGAUGGAACCUUCAUUUAUCUGCUUUUAUAUGUUGAUGAUAUGCUUAUAGCAUGUAAGAGCAAAGUGGAGAUUACAAGGUUGAAGACUCAACUAAGUAAUGAAUUUGAGAUGAAGGACUUGGGAGAAGCUCGGAAGAUACUAGGUAUGGAAAUUGAAAGAGAUAGAGCGAAGGGCAAGAUUAGUCUGUGUCAGAAGCAAUAUUUGAAGAAGGUACUACAACGUUUCAGGAUGAAUGAAAAUUCAAAACCGGUUAGUACACCUCUUGCCUCUCAUUUCAAACUUAACGCUUCUAUGUCUCCUAAAACUGUUGAAGAGAGUCAGUACAUGGCUCAAAUUCCUUAUGCAAAUGUUGUUGGUAGUUUGAUGUAUGCUAUGGUGUGUACUAGGCCUGAUAUUUCACAAGCUGUUAGUAUUGUCAGUAGAUAUAUGCAUAAUCCAGGAAAAGGGGCAUUGGCAAGCUGUGAAAUGGAUUCUACGGUAUAUUCUGGGUACUGUGGAUGUUGGUUUAUUGUUCCAGCAGGAUAAAGUUACUGGUAAAUGUGUUGUUGGAUAUGUGGAUUCUGAUUACGCAGGUGAUUUGGACAAGCGUAGGUCCACUACUGGUUUUGUAUUCUCUAUUGCUGGAGGUCCAGUAAGUUGGAGGUCGAUUCUGCAAUCUACAGUUGCUUUGUCGACUACUGAGGCAGAAUACAUGGCUGUGACAGAAGCUAUAAAGGAAGCCAUCUGGCUUCAAGGGUUGCUUGAUGACUUAGGGGUUCAACAAGACCAUGUGGAUGUUUAUUGCGACAGUCAGAGUGCUAUACAUUUAGCAAAGAAUCAAGUUCAUCAUGCACGUACGAAACACAUUGACGUGAGGUUCCAUUUUGUUCGUGAGAUUAUUGACGAGGGAGAUAUUCUUCUUCAGAAGAUUGGGACCGCUGACAAUCCUGCGGAUAUGUUAACGAAGCCAGUUUCGUUGCACAAGUUUAAGCACUGCUUAGACUUGAUUGGCGUUUGUAAAAUUUGUUGAUUGCCCCAUGGGGGAAUUGGGAGACGACUAUUAGGAGUUCUACUUAGAGGGUUUGAGUCAAGGUGGAGAUUGUUAAUUAUUGACUCAAACAUGUAGUCAAAGUCCAAAUCUUUGGGCUACUUUUGUGGUCAAAAAUUGUUGGUUGGCAUGCUACAUGUGGGAAACAAAAAUUACAUGCAAUUGUGCCUAACUCUUUUUGACUUGAUGUUAGGCCUUUGGUCAUUGAUGUCUUUGAGAAGCUUUUCUUUGGCUAUAAAAGAGAGCAAGGUGCAACCCAUAAGCAUGGAGAAGUAGAGAAGAACAAGGAAGAGAGAAAAAUAGCAAGAAGCCAUUUGGCAUAGAGAAGAAUUUUCUCAAAUUGUCUUGCUUUGUAUUUUUGGUUUUCUCUUCCUAUUGUAAGUGUGAGAGCUUGGGGUUAUUUGGGUCUUUGGGAAAUUGAGUGAUAAACACUAUUGUAUGUUCUCAUUGAUUAUAGUGGAAUACUCCGUCGUCUCCAAACUGGAUGUAGGCAUUGCCGAACCAGUAUAAAUCUUGGUGUUCUUGUUGGUGUUGUUUUAUUCUGUUCUGUCUUACUAUUCACUUACAGUCGUACGCCGCUUCCGCACAACAAAGAAUACAAGAAUUUCACAAUGGAUAAUCUAUUGCAACUCUUCCCUUUCCCUCUUACUCCUUUCUCUAUUUGUUUCCCUUCUGUUUCUUCCGUGAAGCAGUAAUAUGAGUACAGUAGUCAUGAAUAUCUAUGUGUUGAAGUGCAUGAUCUCCGGUGCAAACUUCAGCAGGUUAUCCAAAGCAGUUGGCGGGAACUUCCUGGCGAAUAAGAAACAUACAUCUGUAGUCCUCCCAUUGUAUUCACAUUUCCGACCAAAACCAUUCCUCAGGCCACUCAAAAGCACCGCCGUCACAUUUUCGCUCGCGUACUCCGUAGGGUGUGGGCCACCCUUUUCCCAGUCAACCCAGGUCAACGUCCUAUUUGCAUUCUUUGCUCCAAAUUUUAUGUACACAAACGUUGGCAAAUAAUGUUCAUCGGCGAAACAGUAGCCUUUGCAUUUCAUGAACACUGGGAAGUAUAUUCGAUCCGAUACGAAUUCAAGGGCGAGGUCUCGAUCAGCCUGGAACCACCGCGACCCUUUUCGCCACUGAUCUAUUGUGAUUCCCCGGUAGUCACUCAGUUCAUACCGGCCGCGUCCUACUCCACUGGGAUCGUCAAAGACCUCAACGAAAGUUUGGGUGGAGUUCAUGAGGUAGGAGUAGACAGUGGAGAAGUUAUGGAGGGGAAUGCAUGAUUCUGAGAGCAGAACAAAACGCUGGUUUGAGACGUCGAGAAGAGCAUUCGCCAGGAGGAGGCGCUCUGCCGCGAUCAGGCUCACCUUCCCCCAUUCUACUCCCUGCAAUUAGUACAUGUUGUUGAACAGAAAAUAGUGAGAACAAUUGGCAGCCACCUAUGUUGUGGAAAUUAUUGAGAAUUACAAUUUAGAAACAAACUGGCUUUACAAUAUAGUUAUUAACACUCAUUGGUUAUAUUUAUCUACAUUUUACACCCUCAAAAGUCAGUUUUAAAAUGGACCAUAUGAAUUCAAUUUUUGCACGUCGUACUAUCAGGUCUAAAAUCUUAACAAUUUAUGAUUUAUAGUUAUCUGAUUGUAUGAUCGUUUAAUUAAACUAAUGAUCUGACAUACAUGGAGCUCACCUUGAGCUAAUGUGGAAGUCAACUAUGGAUCAAAAAAUAAAUAUCACAAAGUCUCGUCUUCACCUCAAUUUAUGCUUCGUUACACUAUAUAUGAUAUUUAAUUGCACGGUUUUAGUCUUAUUGCGGUUAGCGUGGCUAAUACUAACCCAAACACGGAUUCCACAUCUGUCAUGCCAUCAAUUUAACAGAGCAUAGACAGUAACAAACAAAAAAAAUUGUGAAAAAAUUGAAAGUUGGUGACUUCUUAUAAAAUUUUACUCCAAAUAAUGCGGAGGAUGUAAAUGUAGGUAGUACAAUGUUAAUUUACUUCUGUGGUUUUAUAGUCUGUGUGACGAAACUUGAGUAAUAAUUUCAAUUCUGAAAAAAAAAAUCACAGAAAUAUAGCUUUUACUUAGUGCAGACAAAAGCGGAAAAAAACUAACCUGACUUGGAAUUCGCCGGCCACCAAAAACUGGGGUUUCGGUGUACAAUGAGUGAUUGUAGGACGGACUUGAGUGCACAUAAAUUGAGUACAAACCUUGAUGCCCGGCAAAGAACUUCUCCCACAGUGGUGCCAAAACAACAGGGCCCUUUGUCAAGAACAUGAAAGCAACUUUUGGAACAAAAUGGAAUGGAUAUUCAGGAAUCUGCGGAGUUAUAGAAGCUCUCCACAGCAGUUCUGCAUUGUUCAUGUCGUGAAAUGCGUUCGGUGGCUUCAGAUAAUCCUUCAACCCUGUCCGCGGAGGACUUGACGAAACAGAUGUUGUUGGGGAGGUUGCAUUUGGCAUUCGGGUUCUUGAAAUAUUGGUUGGAGGAGGAGGUGACAUAGGUGAGAAGGGGAUACUUCUGUGGCUGAGUUUUAAUUAAAAUAUGGUUUUCAUUGUGUAAUAUUUGUUGCUUGACAUUUACAGAUUGGUCCCCUCCGUUGUUGGCCCGGGGGGUUAUGCCUUUCUAGGUCAAUUGGAGACAUGGAUGUUGGGGAGUUUAUAGUUCCAAUACCAUAUGUGAAACAAGUCAAGGUAUCUUCCACUGCGUGGAAAUUAAAUUUUUAACUUGGUUUUAUUAAAUUCAAUGCCAAGUAUUGUUUAGCCUGAAAGCUAACAUUCUUAUAUCGUUUUAAAAGCUAUCAAAUGCCGGUGGGAGGCUUAUAAUUGCUUCGGAUGGCAUCUGGGAUGCUAUAUCUUCCGAAAUGGCAGCACAGUCUUGCCGUGGGUUGCCAGCUGAACUUGCUGCUAGACAAGUUGUGAAGGUUGUUUGAACUACUUGGCCUUUUUCUUGCAAUAUGCAUGUAUAAUCUCAAAGGCUGGAACUCUUUCUUAUUGAUGAUGGAUUGUGUUGUAGGAGGCAUUAAGGUCAAGGGGUCUAAAGGAUGAUACAACCUGCAUAGUUGUUGACAUAAUCCCUCCUGAUACUACGGUAGAGCCCUCAACUCCGCCAAAAAAGAUUAACAAGUUUAGGACCCUUUUUUUCAGAAAGAAAUCGCGUGCUUCUGCUAAUAAACUAUCCAAGAAGCUAUCGGCUGUGGGUAUUGUUGAGGAGUUAUUUGAAGAAGGGUCUGCUAUGCUUGCUGAAAGGUAGUUGAUUCUCUCUUCACUCAAUUUAGUUGAUUCGAUGCAAAGUUUCUUGAAGAGUUUCACACUCCGCUUGUCUACUAAAAUUGGAAAAGAAAAUUUUCAAUGAUGUCAUUAAUUUUAGUCUUGUAUAGCAUAUCGAAGUGGAGUUUCAUAUAUAGGUAUCAUAAACCUUAUUGUUGAGUUGCAAGUUCAAAUUGCGGGUUGGCUUCUUGUGAAAUGUGGUAUUUUGGUAUCGUGUAUUUGGUUGCUCCUGGAAAUGAUUAUCAAUGUCAAAUGUGUUGCAGGUUGGGCAGCGAUGAGUGCACAUCACAAUCAACAUCUGGGCUGUUCAUGUGUGCUGUAUGCCAAGUUGACCUUGCACCGAGCGAGGGGCAUAUCGGUUCACGCGGGUUCUAUCUUCUCAACCAGUUCAAAGCCUUGGCAAGGGCCGUUUCCUCUGUUCUGAUUGUCGUAACAAGAAGGAUGCCAUGGAAGGAAAACGCCCUAGCGGAGUCAGAGUAGCAUAGGUAGCUUGUGCAUUGUUUCGCCACCAUUCUUUUAACCCUUUAUUCCCUUUGUUUGAUAAUCCGUCUUCGUAGGCCAGCCAAUAUUGUUUGAAUCUUUACUUUAGUGAUACAUGAAAUGUAUAUGUAAAUUUGAUAAGUAAUUUGGAAUGAGUUGUAGAAGUUGAGGAAGGUCUUGUGCAAGGAAACCUCUUUCGAUUCUAUUUUGUUGGGGUAUUGGGCAAAGCAAAAGUGUGUCGAACUCGAAUACAAUAAUCGUUACUAAAAGUAAAUUAACAAAUGAACGGAAGUGAUUUUCUUUUGAUUUGUUCAAUCCUAAGGCUAGAAAAACAGAGAAACACGAAAUCACUUCUAUAUUGUAUAACUGAAUUUUCCAAGUUAGGUCUUGAUUCUAUAUUGUGUGCGAGUCUCUGAAUCAAUAAUAUGUGCUGUGAAGAAAUAAUACAAGUAGGUUAUUCAAAAGCCUUGAGUUGCUAUUGCUAUUGUAUUAUAUUGUUAACACACAACAGAAUGGCUCUGUUUCUUUUCUCUGCUCUCGUUCACUCUUCAAAAGCAGGACACAUCCUCCUGAAUGUGGAUUGUUCACUGUUGAUUGUUCUGACCAACUUCGUCCGAGGAUCCAACUGAAAGAGGGAGGAUACUGACAUGAAUUCGAAGGCCCUCUAUCAUCUUCGAUUUUUAUCAAAAACACGGCUGCAUGAGCACUUUGGAAGAAAUUCCUGCGAGGAUGAAGUUUUCGACGACUUGAAUUGGAUGAAGAAAUUCGUUUGCAGAGUGUUAGGAACGAAGAAGACAAAGUAGUAAGAGCGAGGAAGAUGAUCUUAGAGAGCUUUUGGUCCAUAUAAACUGAUCCUUCAAACCAGCCAGCGAUGAAAGAAGUAUAGAUAUGUUGGAAGGGAGCAUUGAUUCAUUGCAGAAACCAUACAAGCCUCACUUGUCUUCUCCUCCAAAGAUCAUACGGUUUUAGGCUUUUAGCACCCAAAAAAACGAAAAAAAAAAAGCAGAGGGUUUGAUUUAUCCCCCAAAAAAACCAUCUACAUUCUACAGUCCACUCGGGAGCAAGCAAAGAAACAAGACUUGGCAAGUAAGCAAUUCACAGAGAAUCACAGGGAAGACAAUGAAGCUAUGAUCAGUUUUACCAUGUCAUGUGAGCAUUUAUUUCAUUUUAUAUCAAGAUCAUUAGGGCCUAUUGCAAAUUCAUGUCCAAUCCAACCUUAUCUUAAAUUUAAUGUUGAAGCCUCGUUUGGUAUGAAGGAUAAGAUUGGAAUGGAUAAUUUUCUAAUUUCAAGGUACUAGUAGGGCAUAAAUGAAAAAAUUAUGUCCAUUGAUGUGAGGGUUACCGUGUCAAAACAAGUCAUGCAAAACGUCAGCAAAAUGCAUGCCAUAACUUGCUGGUCUAGGCUGCUCUUCCAUGUGCUUGACUCGUCUAUGUUGCNNNNNNNNNNNNNNNNNNNNNNNNNNNNNNNNNNNNNNNNNNNNNNNNNNNNNNNNNNNNNNNNNNNNNNNNNNNNNNNNNNNNNNNNNNNNNNNNNNNNNNNNNNNNNNNNNNNNNNNNNNNNNNNNNNNNNNNNNNNNNNNNNNNNNNNNNNNNNNNNNNNNNNNNNNNNNNNNNNNNNNNNNNNNNNNNNNNNNNNNNNNNNNNNNNNNNNNNNNNNNNNNNNNNNNNNNNNNNNNNNNNNNNNNNNNNNNNNNNNNNNNNNNNNNNNNNNNNNNNNNNNNNNNNNNNNNNNNNNNNNNNNNNNNNNNNNNNNNNNNNNNNNNNNNNNNNNNNNNNNNNNNNNNNNNNNNNNNNNNNNNNNNNNNNNNNNNNNNNNNNNNNNNNNNNNNNNNNNNNNNNNNNNNNNNNNNNNNNNNNNNNNNNNNNNNNNNNNNNNNNNNNNNNNNNNNNNNNNNNNNNNNNNNNNNNNNNNNNNNNNNNNNNNNNNNNNNNNNNNNGAAUAAAUUUUCUGACGUAACAUAGAUAGAUGUGGCAACAUAUGCCUCUGCAGAAGGAAGUGAAUGCUUCUCAGAUGUGCUAAAUAUGUUUAAUAUUCAUACAUUUAGUUGGAUGUUCUUGUAAUUAACUGUGCACUGUUUUCUAAUCCACAGUGAUUCAUCUUGCUCUGCAGUGCUAUUAAUAUCGUUCUUUUCCAUACAGUUAUCAGUUUGGAGAACAUCUGUAGUUUGUUUUAAUUCAUGUUCUGCUUAUUCCCAAACAGGCCAUCACUGCUCUGAAAAAGGGGGCACAAUUGCUCAAGUAUGGACGCAGAGGGAAACCCAAAUUUUGUCCUUUCAGGCUGUCCAAUGUAUGUCCAAUUGUAUUUGAAGAGCAACAUACAUUCUUUUAUCUAUUUUGCUUGUUUCUUUUUUCUCUAAAUUGCUUAUUGUUCUUUCUUGGUGGGAAAAGGCUUUGUUGUUGUUGUUGUUGCUUAUUGUUCUUUCUUGGAGUUUUCAAAUGUGAAUCAGAGUUUUUAUGAACGACUGGUCUUGCAUUCAUGCUUGUUUAUAUUGAUUAUCUAUUUCUUGCUUCACUAAGCUUAUGUUACGCCUUUAAGGUAUGUCAAAAGGGAUUUGCAGUGAAGUAUUUGAUGGCUUUAUAAUGUUUUAGACUUGUAUAUAGACUAUAGAGCAAUAGUCUCUAGUUAUAUCAUAUGUUUGGCAUGUUAUGCCUCUAGAUGGUGAAUUAGGUCUGGAUUGAUAGUCUAGCGAGAAAAAAUUACUUGGUAGAGUAAAGUAGGCAGGGCACAGUAAGUGAAGCGAAAUGUCUACAAUAUCUGUAUGCCUUAGGCAUUAUCUUUCAUAUUCCAGAACAAUUUGUUAAGAGUAAACUAGGCUGGGCUUAUAGGGUGAAACAACUCAAAAAAAUUUUCAUUUUUAAAGAAAAUGGUUACAGUUAACUGGAAUGUAGUGAGAAGGAUACCCCUAUGAGAAGUAACCAAGAAAUGGCUAUCAGAUUUGCUAGUACCUCUCCUUAAAGUAAUUUUGCUGGGUUCAGAGAGAGACUGGUCUCCAGUGCAUCUAUGGCUUACUUUUUUAAUAUGAUCCCAAGGCUACAUAUAGACAAACACCAUGAAAACCAUCGUAUAUGCUAUUGAUAUGAUUAAUAAAGUAAAAAACCUGAACAACUGGUUCACUCAGAGGGUUUAGACAGUGUGGAACAUAUUCUUCAUACUGCUCGGUAUUCACAUUCUACUAAAUCUGCUAUGUGGUGCUUGUUUCAGUUGAAUAUAGGAUUAGCAUCAUUAGUAAUAAGGUUUGGGUGCUUGCUCAUGUCUAGUUCUAACCUUCUUGAUGUUGCAGUAAAUUCUUCAUCUGAAGUUCUACUGUUACUCAGCCUUAAAAAACUAUUAUUCCUUUAUGAUAAUUUUGUUAAGCUUUAUGAAAUCUAAUAACAUGAUUUUUAUGAGUCAUUUAUUGCAGUUUCAAGUGAUGUACUGGGCAAAGAUAUUUGCCGUCUAUUCCAUUUUUUCGUUGGAUUUUCAAUGUUAUUCCAUGUUUCUUCUUUCAGGAUGAAUCUUUUCUAAUAUGGUACUCAGGGAAAGAGGAGAAAUAUGUUAAACUAACCCAAGUCUUCAAGAAUUGUACCUGGUCAGCGCACUGUAAGUUUCUCAUGUUGUGGUCUCCUACACCUCUUCAAUGGUGAAUACUUCAAUAGUAUGCCAGAUAUAGAUGACAAGAACAUACAAAUAGUAUAAAUCACUUAUUUGUUUUCCCGUAGAUUUAUCUUUAGUUCUUUCUAGAACUAUAUUUCCUCCAGAUUAUAUUUGGUUUCCUGUUGAUAAGGAUUUUAAUGUUGUAUUGCUUGUUUAAUUCUCUUUGUAAUUUAUUUCUCAGUUAUGAAUGUAACUGAACAUUUUGUUUUGAUAUUAUUGCAGCAAACCUUUCAGAGGUAUCCUCGGCCUGAAAAGGAAUAUCAGUCAUUUUCUCUUAUAUAUAAUGAUAGGUCUUUGGAUUUGUAAGCAUCUUCUUCGUUGUUGAUUUCUGCUGCAUCUGAUUCUUAGAUAUUUUGUUCUUUCUUUUCUUUUAUCCAAUCCAUUUACUUAUUUUCUUUUAACUUUCCUAUCUAUUAGUUAUGUAUCGUACCCCGUGUGCUCUUCCAUAAAUUUCAUUUACUUUUUUAAUGUCACUUGUUUAUGCCAGAUAUCAAGGAUAAAGAUGAAGCUGAAGUUUGGUUUACUGGUCUAAAAGCAUUAAUAUCACGUGCCUUCACCAGAAGCGGAGAGCAGAAUCAAGAAGUGGAGUUACAUCUGAGGCAAAUAGUCCUAGAUCACACACCCAACAAAGUUCUCCAUUGAGCUCUCCAUUUUGUAGUGGUGAUAGUUCGCAGAAGGUGAUCUAUUUUUGUUUCUCUUGUUAUUGCCAUCCCUAAACUGUGAUAUAGAAGUAAAUUGUCUUCUUGUCACUGCUGCAGGAUGGCGUGGAACCGUUUCAUCUUCAUGCUGCAUUUGAAAGCCCUCCUAAAAUUGGUUUAGAGAAGGCUUUAUCGGAUGUUCAUGUUGUAUGCCCUGCCUCCAAAAAUUCCCUUCCCUUCAGAUGCUUCUUGUGGCUCAGUCCCGUCUUCGGGAGGCUCAGAUGGAAUGAACGGACGAACAAAGGGUGCCGGUGUGGAUGCAUUUAGAGUAAGUUUAUCAAGUGCUGUUAGCUCAUCAAGUCAAGGCUCUGGUCAUGAUGAAGGUGAUGCUUUAGCUUUAGGGGAUGUUUUCAUUUGGGGGGAAGGCGUUGGUGAUUGCUUUCUCGGUGGAGGAUCACAUAGAGUUGGAAGUUCUUCUGGUUGUAAGAUGGAUUCUUUUGUGCCUAAAGUCUUGGAAUCUGCCGUAGUGCUUGAUGUCCAAAGCAUAGCAUGUGGUGGACGGCAUGCUGCUUUUGUAACCAAGCAAGGGGAGGUAUUUUCUUGGGGUGAAGAAUUAGGAGGCAGACUUGGACAAGGUGUGGAUGCUGAUGUUUCACAUCCAAAACUCAUAGAUGCUCUGAAAAACAUGAAUAUUGAAUUAUUAGCAUGUGGAGAAUACCUUCUUGUGCUGUCACACUUUCCGGUGACAUGUACACAUGGGGUGGCAGUAAUUCCCAAUUUUGCACUCCUUGGUCAUGGGUCUCAAUCAAGUCAAUGGGUCCCAAAAAGCUAAAUGGACCUUUAGAGGGAAUUCAUGUCUCAUCGGUUUCAUGUGGACCAUGGCACACAGCUGUUGUUGACCUCUGCUGGGCAACUGUUUACUUUUGGCGAUGGCACAUUGGUGUUCUAGGUCAUGGGAUCGAAAGAGCACUUCGGUGCCCAGGAGGUUGAUUCCUUAAAGUCUCCCCUUUCAGUCAACCAGGUCAACGUCCUAUUUGCAUUCUUUGCUCCAAAUUUUAUGUACACAAACGUUGGCAAAUAAUGUUCAUCGGCGAAACAGUAGCCUUUGCAUUUCAUGAACACUGGGAAGUAUAUUCGAUCCGAUACGAAUUCAAGGGCGAGGUCUCGAUCAGCCUGGAACCACCGCGACCCUUUUCGCCACUGAUCUAUUGUGAUUCCCCGGUAGUCACUCAGUUCAUACCGGCCGCGUCCUACUCCACUGGGAUCGUCAAAGACCUCAACGAAAGUUUGGGUGGAGUUCAUGAGGUAGGAGUAGACAGUGGAGAAGUUAUGGAGGGGAAUGCAUGAUUCUGAGAGCAGAACAAAACGCUGGUUUGAGACGUCGAGAAGAGCAUUCGCCAGGAGGAGGCGCUCUGCCGCGAUCAGGCUCACCUUCCCCCAUUCUACUCCCUGCAAUUAGUACAUGUUGUUGAACAGAAAAUAGUGAGAACAAUUGGCAGCCACCUAUGUUGUGGAAAUUAUUGAGAAUUACAAUUUAGAAACAAACUGGCUUUACAAUAUAGUUAUUAACACUCAUUGGUUAUAUUUAUCUACAUUUUACACCCUCAAAAGUCAGUUUUAAAAUGGACCAUAUGAAUUCAAUUUUUGCACGUCGUACUAUCAGGUCUAAAAUCUUAACAAUUUAUGAUUUAUAGUUAUCUGAUUGUAUGAUCGUUUAAUUAAACUAAUGAUCUGACAUACAUGGAGCUCACCUUGAGCUAAUGUGGAAGUCAACUAUGGAUCAAAAAAUAAAUAUCACAAAGUCUCGUCUUCACCUCAAUUUAUGCUUCGUUACACUAUAUAUGAUAUUUAAUUGCACGGUUUUAGUCUUAUUGCGGUUAGCGUGGCUAAUACUAACCCAAACACGGAUUCCACAUCUGUCAUGCCAUCAAUUUAACAGAGCAUAGACAGUAACAAACAAAAAAUUGUGAAAAAUUGAAAGUUGGUGACUUCUUAUAAAAUUUUACUCCAAAUAAUGCGGAGGAUGUAAAUGUAGGUAGUACAAUGUUAAUUUACUUCUGUGGUUUUAUAGUCUGUGUGACGAAACUUGAGUAAUAAUUUCAAUUCUGAAAAAAAAAAUCACAGAAAUAUAGCUUUUACUUAGUGCAGACAAAAGCGGAAAAAAACUAACCUGACUUGGAAUUCGCCGGCCACCAAAAACUGGGGUUUCGGUGUACAAUGAGUGAUUGUAGGACGGACUUGAGUGCACAUAAAUUGAGUACAAACCUUGAUGCCCGGCAAAGAACUUCUCCCACAGUGGUGCCAAAACAACAGGGCCCUUUGUCAAGAACAUGAAAGCAACUUUUGGAACAAAAUGGAAUGGAUAUUCAGGAAUCUGCGGAGUUAUAGAAGCUCUCCACAGCAGUUCUGCAUUGUUCAUGUCGUGAAAUGCGUUCGGUGGCUUCAGAUAAUCCUUCAACCCUGUCCGCGGAGGACUUGACGAAACAGAUGUUGUUGGGGAGGUUGCAUUUGGCAUUCGGGUUCUUGAAAUAUUGGUUGGAGGAGGAGGUGACAUAGGUGAGAAGGGGAUACUUCUGUGGCUGAGUUUUAAUUAAAAUAUGGUUUUCAUUGUGUAAUAUUUGUUGCUUGACAUUUACAGAUUGGUCCCCUCCGUUGUUGGCCCGGGGGGUUAUGCCUUUCUAGGUCAAUUGGAGACAUGGAUGUUGGGGAGUUUAUAGUUCCAAUACCAUAUGUGAAACAAGUCAAGGUAUCUUCCACUGCGUGGAAAUUAAAUUUUUAACUUGGUUUUAUUAAAUUCAAUGCCAAGUAUUGUUUAGCCUGAAAGCUAACAUUCUUAUAUCGUUUUAAAAGCUAUCAAAUGCCGGUGGGAGGCUUAUAAUUGCUUCGGAUGGCAUCUGGGGAUGCUAUAUCUUCCGAAAUGGCAGCACAGUCUUGCCGUGGGUUGCCAGCUGAACUUGCUGCUAGACAAGUUGUGAAGGUUGUUUGAACUACUUGGCCUUUUUCUUGCAAUAUGCAUGUAUAAUCUCAAAGGCUGGAACUCUUUCUUAUUGAUGAUGGAUUGUGUUGUAGGAGGCAUUAAGGUCAAGGGUCUAAAGGAUGAUACAACCUGCAUAGUUGUUGACAUAAUCCCUCCUGAUACUACGGUAGAGCCCUCAACUCCGCCAAAAAAGAUUAACAAGUUUAGGACCCUUUUUUUCAGAAAGAAAUCGCGUGCUUCUGCUAAUAAACUAUCCAAGAAGCUAUCGGCUGUGGGUAUUGUUGAGGAGUUAUUUGAAGAAGGGUCUGCUAUGCUUGCUGAAAGGUAGUUGAUUCUCUCUUCACUCAAUUUAGUUGAUUCGAUGCAAAGUUUCUUGAAGAGUUUCACACUCCGCUUGUCUACUAAAAUUGGAAAAGAAAAUUUUCAAUGAUGUCAUUAAUUUUAGUCUUGUAUAGCAUAUCGAAGUGGAGUUUCAUAUAUAGGUAUCAUAAACCUUAUUGUUGAGUUGCAAGUUCAAAUUGCGGGUUGGCUUCUUGUGAAAUGUGGUAUUUUGGUAUCGUGUAUUUGGUUGCUCCUGGAAAUGAUUAUCAAUGUCAAAUGUGUUGCAGGUUGGGCAGCGAUGAGUGCACAUCACAAUCAACAUCUGGGCUGUUCAUGUGUGCUGUAUGCCAAGUUGACCUUGCACCGAGCGAGGGCAUAUCGGUUCACGCGGGUUCUAUCUUCUCAACCAGUUCAAAGCCUUGGCAAGGGCCGUUCCUCUGUUCUGAUUGUCGUAACAAGAAGGAUGCCAUGGAAGGAAAACGCCCUAGCGGAGUCAGAGUAGCAUAGGUAGCUUGUGCAUUGUUUCGCCACCAUUCUUUUAACCCUUUAUUCCCUUUGUUUGAUAAUCCGUCUUCGUAGGCCAGCCAAUAUUGUUUGAAUCUUUACUUUAGUGAUACAUGAAAUGUAUAUGUAAAUUUGAUAAGUAAUUUGGAAUGAGUUGUAGAAGUUGAGGAAGGUCUUGUGCAAGGAAACCUCUUUCGAUUCUAUUUUGUUGGGGUAUUGGGCAAAGCAAAAGUGUGUCGAACUCGAAUACAAUAAUCGUUACUAAAAGUAAAUUAACAAAUGAACGGAAGUGAUUUUCUUUUGAUUUGUUCAAUCCUAAGGCUAGAAAAACAGAGAAACACGAAAUCACUUCUAUAUUGUAUAACUGAAUUUUCCAAGUUAGGUCUUGAUUCUAUAUUGUGUGCGAGUCUCUGAAUCAAUAAUAUGUUGCUGUGAAGAAAUAAUACAAGUAGGUUAUUCAAAAGCCUUGAGUUGCUAUUGCUAUUGUAUUAUAUUGUUAACACACAACAGAAUGGCUCUGUUUCUUUUCUCUGCUCUCGUUCACUCUUCAAAAGCAGGACACAUCCUCCUGAAUGUGGAUUGUUCACUGUUGAUUGUUCUGACCAACUUCGUCCGAGGAUCCAACUGAAAGAGGGAGGAUACUGACAUGAAUUCGAAGGCCCUCUAUCAUCUUCGAUUUUUAUCAAAAACACGGCUGCAUGAGCACUUUGGAAGAAAUUCCUGCGAGGAUGAAGUUUUCGACGACUUGAAUUGGAUGAAGAAAUUCGUUUGCAGAGUGUUAGGAACGAAGAAGACAAAGUAAGAGCGAGGAAGAUGAUCUUAGAGAGCUUUUGGUCCAUAUAAACUGAUCCUUCAAACCAGCCAGCGAUGAAAGAAGUAUAGAUAUGUUGGAAGGGAGCAUUGAUUCAUUGCAGAAACCAUACAAGCCUCACUUGUCUUCUCCUCCAAAGAUCAUACGGUUUUAGGCUUUUAGCACCCAAAAAACGAAAAAAAAAAAAGCAGAGGGUUUGAUUUAUCCCCCAAAAAAACCAUCUACAUUCUACAGUCCACUCGGGAGCAAGCAAAGAAACAAGACUUGGCAAGUAAGCAAUUCACAGAAUCACAGGGAAGACAAUGAAGCUAUGAUCAGUUUUACCAUGUCAUGUGAGCAUUUAUUUCAUUUUAUAUCAAGAUCAUUAGGGCCUAUUGCAAAUUCAUGUCCAAUCCAACCUUAUCUUAAAUUUAAUGUUGAAGCCUCGUUUGGUAUGAAGGAUAAGAUUGGAAUGGAUAAUUUUCUAAUUUCAAGGUACUAGUAGGGCAUAAAUGAAAAAAUUAUGUCCAUUGAUGUGAGGGUUACCGUGUCAAAACAAGUCAUGCAAAACGUCAGCAAAAUGCAUGCCAUAACUUGCUGGUCUAGGCUGCUCUUCCAUGUGCUUGACUCGUCUAUGUUGCGGCUGCUGGUUGAGCUUGAGUCGGACUGAGUGACUACUUUUCUCUGUCCUUCGUGGUGCUGCCUACUCCGAUGUAAGGUAAAUGAUGCUCCUUGUGGGCCUAACCGCGAAAUGAACACUUCACAUGGAAGGUUGCUCAUGUUGACUAUCGGGAUGUGGCCCCAACAGUGAAUGUAUGCUCGUCCAUGGGCCUAGUCGAGAGUGCACGCUCAUCUGCAUGCUAAGACAGGAGUAUACACUAUCUCGGGGGCCCAAUCGGGAAUGUACAUUGCCCGAACUCUCGAUUCGUGGCUACUUGCUGCGACGCUGCUGGAGAGGUUAUUUAUUUGCCCUUAUCCUACUUCAAGACAUCUCGUCUAGGGCACGUUGCAUCUCAGUGCACUGCAAUAGCUGAUUCAUCAAGGUCGUCUGCUGUGCAAGGGCACUCGUCAACUCUAUAACUUGUCGAGACAAGUGUUGUUCUCCAUUUGGGUUGGAAGAGCUUGGAAGGAAUGCGUCUCAUUUAGUAGUAGAAGUGUGGCAGACUCCGGGCGCAAGAUUUGAGUUGGGAAAUGUCAAAUCCGCAGAUAAAUGUGGUGAAAAUGCCUUUGGUUCAAUUGUAGGCCUAGAAAUUUGAAGCAGGGACAGUUGAACUAAUCUUGGAUCGAUUUGGGUUGCUUGGAAGGCCAUGAGAGCAGGCUGGGCCACGGGAGUAGGUUACUCAGCGUGUGGCACACGUGGGUGUGAGGCUAGGGCUUGAUUUUGGCAACGCGUUGGGUUUGGGCGGCUCGGGCUGGCUAGGGCUUGGGCUCUUGAAGGUUUAAGUGGCACGACUUGGGUCAUGGCCUUGGCGCCAUGGGUUUUGCCGAGGGUGGCCACCGUGGUGGUUGCCACGGCGGUUCCCCGUGGGGGUGGUGCCGCUCCACUCAUCGUUGUGUUGAGCCUUGUAGAUCGCCGCGGUCCUAAUUCUUGAAUGUUGAAAUUUCAAUUUGUCAAGGUUUCCUAAUCCCUUGCCAUUGUACUUUUCUUCGAAUAAUUUUUAGAAAUAAAAAUUCCAAGAAUAAGAGCGUACAAAAAAUUUACAAAUGAACAAUAAAACGAAAAACCUUGGAUGCAAGAGUCUUCUACUAGUGUGUGACUCAACUCUCAAUGAAAGCACAAAUUUGUGGAUGCAAAUUUCUUCCUUCUUGUUCUUGGACGAAAAUGCCCAUGCAAAAACAAUUAACACUUUAGGUCAAGGCCAAAAGCCUCAUGCGCUUACAAUGAAUAGGGGGCUUUGGCCGAAGAACCUCUGAUGCCAAAGUUAGAAUUUUGAGAGAAAAGUGUUUAGAGAAUUUUGCAAGAGGAUUCAACUUAGGUUUUUGGAGAAAUAAGGUGAUAUUUAUAGGGAUGUGGCCGGCCCCUUUUGGAGAGGUGGGAACCGGCCACCUUUGGUGGUUUUUGGGUGUAAUUGCAAGAUAUUAUGUCACCAUAAUAUCUUGCAAUCAAUUAGGAAAUUAAUUAAUAAAUUAAGGUAAUUAAUCAUAUUUUGAAUGAAUAUUUGGAUGUUACCUUGUGGGGAGCAUUUGAUGAAGAUAGAUGAAAUAAGUUUUGAAUAAAUACCUAUUUUGAUCACUUUUGAUCUUGAUUGAAUGGUAAUUGUCCGCUGCUCACGCAUAGGAGUUCCGAUGUGUCUCGAGGUAAUCCUGUCUUUUUACCCAAAAAUCCACGUGUCGCCUCCAUAUUUUUCUUAAUUAUUUUUGGCUCCACAAUGUCCAAUCCAAUUUUGUUGUAAAUUUAAUAUUGAAGCCCCGUUUGGCAUUUAGUAUAAGAUUGCAUUGAUAAUUCUCUAAUUUCAAGGUAUUAUUAGGGGAGAAAUAAAAAAAUUAGAGUAUUGAUAGACCCACCCUAUUGUCUUAUUUUCCUACCCACGUUAUAAUCUCACACACUAUAAAAAUUUAAAAUUUUGAAAUCCUAUUUGUCCAUUCACUAUAAUUCCUAAAAUAACCUUCACCACAGUUCUAUUUGUCACAUCGCGGCCCGAGCCCCCACCACAUUCGGGCUCGACUUCACCAUAGCAUGAUAUUGUUCGUUUUGGGCCCCGACCACGCCCUUACGGUUUUGUUUCUGGAAACUCACAUGAGAACUUCCCACUGGUCACCCAUCAUGGGAUUGCUCUCGCGCAAACUCUCUUAACUUCGGAGUUCCGAUGGAACCCGAAGCCAGUGAGCUCCCAAAAUUCAUCGUGCUAGGUAGAGAUGAGAAUAUACAUAUAAGGUAUAGAUGAUCCAUUAUCCUGAACGAUGUGGGAUGUAAAAAAAAAAAAACAAAUUCACCUAUACUUUCAGUAUGCCUUGAUGUUAUAAAAUUAUCCAUUACAAUCCAAUUUUACAUACUAAAUGUUUAUACCAUAUUUAGGGCCUCGUAUUUAGAUCUCGUACAAAUACUCAGGGGACUUAAAUGUAAUUAUGGGAUAAAGGAAGGGGCAAAUAUGUAAUAAGUGAGGAGUCCUUAUUCUAUAAAAGGACCCCUCACCCUCACAAUUAGAGAAGGCCUCACUCUCACUCUCAGAGGCCAUUUCUGAAGCCUCUCACCCCCUCUCAAAGCUUCCUCACACCCCCUAAGCUCUAAGCUCUCUCUCUCCCUCUUCAACAGAGAAAUACAAUACAAUCAGUGUGGACGUAGCCCAAACCUUGGGGUGAACCACGAUAUAUCUUGUGUUAUUUACAUUUCAUGCAGAUUCACGGUCGGAUUUACGUUGUUCCAAGACCAUCCGGUUUUGUGCAUCAACAUUUGGCGCCGUCUGUGGGAAACGAUACGAAACGUUAUGUCGGUUCUCUUUCAUUUUUUCAUCUCCGUCGUGAAUCUGCAAAAUUUUGCAAAAACCCAGAAACAGAAAAGAUCUAGAUCUCAAAAUCACUCAUCUCUCUCUCUGGAAAACACAUUGAAGCUAAACAAAAACCCCACUUCUCGAUACACAGACACACUUUGUCUGUCUCUCUCUCUAAUCUAAUCCCUCAGCAAAAACAAAAAAAAGAUCCAGAAGAAAAAGAAAGAGAUUCCAUCGUCUCAACCGUCAUCAUCAUCUGCUCCGCAGCCCCACCAAUCCUCCGCCGCACCCCAAUCUUUCCAUCGUCUGAUCGCUGUCAACGUCCCCAACGAAGAGGACGAGAUCGUUUUCGCAGCUCCUAGCUCCCGCCGCCUCUGUGAGAUCAGACACCCAUUCAAUCAGCACAUGAGAAGAGAGAACGAGAUCAAGUUGCAAUCCACGUUUGGCCAAAAUCUUCAGAGCAGAGACCAAAAGUCGGAGCAACUAACAGAGGAGCAGAUCGCCGAGUUCAAGGAAGCUUUUUGCCUCUUUGACAAAAGAUGGCGAUAGUUGCGUCACUACCAAAGAGUUGGGGACUGUGAUGAGAUCUUUGGGACAGAAUCCCACUGAGGCUGAAUUGCAGGACAUUAUCAGUGAAGUUGAUGCUGAUCAGAAUGGCACAAUCGAUUUCUCCGAGUUUCUGAAUUUGAUGGCGAGGAAGAUGAAGCUGUCAUUAGAGGUCGAAAAAUCAGGUGAUGGGUCCAUCGCGAUCUUUGACUCUACCCCGAUAUCGGCAAGAAAGCCAGAGAUCUUCUUUACAACGAUUACCAGAGCAACCAUAAGUUCACUGUCACCACUUACACUUCCACCGGAUUUUCAAUCAGUUCGAUCGGAAUCAGGAAGGGUGAUCUAUAUUUGGGGGAUGUCAGUACUCAGCUGAAGAACAAGAACAACGCCAACUGCUGCUGCGACAGCGCCAUCCACCUUUGCUUGGCUCGCUAUCUGUGAGAAGAAUGUCUCGUCAGACGAAAGUUCCCAAAUUCCAGAGAGAUCGACAAUGAAGCAGCAAUCCAAGGACCCAUUCGAAGCGGCAUUCGAGGAGCAAGAAGACGACUCACCGCUCGAUUCUCCGGCCGUCGCUGAAGCCACAAGCGCCGCCUUUGGUGCCCUAGAAGAGGACGACCCUCUUCUUGUUCCUAGCCUGUCAUCUUCCUCCGCGCCAUCAGCUGCAGCGCCAAAAGCAAUAGCAGUUACCAGAAAAGUUCUCUCUUUUCUUUUGCUUUUGUUUCACAAAGUCUCUUUUCCUUUACAGAAAAGAAAAAUGAGGAGUGAGAAUGGAUGGGCACGACCAGGCUGUCCAAGAAAAGCAAGUGGGUUUACAAGCAAAGAUACCUUACAAAGCAACAUGGGUGGACAGAGAAGGAGUGGAGAGAUAAACAAAGGCAAAUGGGUGGUGUCUGUCCUAGCAAUUGUCAUUCUAGAGAAAAGCAAUGAAAGCAAUGGCAAUUAAAAACUUAAACUCAGAUGGUCUCCAAAGGCCAUAAAACAUGGGUGGACAGAUAUAAUUGCGGAAGACCAGAGAUAAUUGCGGGAGACUCAUGGAUCAUGCAGAAAGGAAAAGCAGAAAGGAAAAGAAAAAGUAAAAGAAAAAGCUUCUGCAGCCAUCUGCUAUUCCACUACCCAACUUUCAAUUGUGCAGAUACUAUCCCAUUAUCCAACCAUCUGUCAUACCCACCUUCUACAACAAUAUUUAUGAAUGAUGUAAUUUUUUUUUUAUCUCUCAGAGACAUCUGUAUAAACCCCAUCAGAGGGUAAUAAUACAAAAAAAAAAAAAAAAAAAAAAAAAAGCGGCAAAGCCCAAAAUUAAUGGGCUGGCAUGUCGUGGAGGGCGAAGGCCCAUAAGCCCAAAAUAGCACCAACCAGGUGACCAAAAGUAUGCCCAGUACUCCAAAAAUUAUUCGACAACUUGCCUCUAUUAUCACCAACCAGGUGAUCAAAAGUACGCCCAGUACUUCAAGUCAUACAUGAGCAUUACUCAUGUCAAUCAUACAUAAAUAUUCAUGAGCAUCACUCAUCCAAUCAUACAUAAACAUUCAUGAGCAUCACUCAUGUCAACAUUCAUGAGCAUCACUCAUGUCAACAUCCAUGAGCAUCACUCAUGUCAAUCAACAUAAACAUCCAUAAGCAUCACUCAUGUCAACAUCCAUGAGCAUCACUCAUGUCAAUCAACAUAAACAUGCAUGAGCAUCACUCAUGUCAAAUCAGCUUCAAAGACUUCAUUUACAGAGCUCUAGCUUCAAAAGCUUCAUUUACAAGAGCUCUAGCUUCAAAGACUUCAUUUACAGAGCUCUAGCUUCAAAAGCUUCAUUCACAAGAGCUCUAGCUUCAAAAGCUUCAUUUACAGAGCUCUAGCUUCAAAAGCUUCAUUUACAAGAGCUCUAGCUUCAAAAGCUUCAUUUACAGAGCUCUAGCUUCAAAAGCUUCAUUUACAAGAGCUCUAGCUUCAAAGACUUCAUUUACAGAGCUCUAGCUUCAAAAGCUUCAUUUACAAAAGCUCUAGCUUUAAAAGCUUCAUUUACAAGAGCUCUAACUUCAAAGACUUCAUUUACAGAGCUCUAGCUUCAAAAGCUUCAUUUACAGAGCUCUAGCUUCAAAGACUUCAUUUACAGAGCUCUAGCUUCAAAAGCUUCAUUUACAAAAGCUCUAGCUUUAAAAGCUUCAUUUACAGAGCUCUAGCUUCAAAGCUUCACUUGCAAAGCUUCACCUACAAAGCUUCAGUGCAAGGUAUACAAAUAUCGCCUCCUAACAACCGCCACUUCGGCCCAUACAUGGAUUCAAUUUGAAGUCUCCAGCCAACAGACUCUAUUGACCGAAGACUUGGGGGACUACAUUAUGUACCAUAUAUUGGGCCUCAACUGGGCCUCAUGAAAAAUACUUGGGGGACUCUAGCCCAUUAUUUAUGUAUUAAGGAGCGAACCCUUAUUCUAUAAAAGGGACUCCCUCACUUUCAUUGAAAGAUCACCCAUGAUUUAUGUAUUGAGGAGCGAGCCCUUAUUCUAUAAAAGGGACUCCCUCACCACCAUUAGAGAGCAUCGUCGCCUACUGAGCAACCGUCUCACUGCAAGCAUCAACUCUAACCCAUCACUUAUGUAUUGAGUAGAGAGCCCUUAUUCUAUAAAAGGGACUCCCUCACCUUCAAACGCCACAAGCCGAGCCAACCAAGGCAACACAAGCUACAAGCAGAGCGGCCUCGCAACAUGUGCUACUUCUAGUUGAGCAUCAUUUCAGAUUGGGCACCGCCUCAUAUCAAGUAUUAGUUCUAGACGACAUCUAGUUACUUCGGCCCACACAUGGACUGAAUUUCAAGUCUCCAGCCAAAAGACUCUCUUGACUGAAGACUUGGGGGACUACUGUUUAUACCAUAUUUAGGGCCUCGUAUUUAGAUCUCGUACAAAUACUCAGGGGACUUAAAUGUAAUUAUGGGAUAAAGGAAGGGGCAAAUAUGUAAUAAGUGAGGAGUCCUUAUUCUAUAAAAGGACCCCUCACCCUCACAAUUAGAGGAGGCCUCACUCUCACUCUCAGAGGCCAUUUCUGAAGCCUCUCACCCCCUCUCAAAGCUUCCUCACACCCCCUAAGCUCUAAGCUCUCUCUCUCCCUCUUCAACAGAGAAAUACAAUACAAUCAGUGUGGACGUAGCUCAAACCUUGGGGUGAACCACGAUAUAUCUUGUGUUAUUUACAUUUCAUGCAGAUUCACGGUCGGAUUUACGUUGUUCCAAGACCAUCCGGUUUUGUGCAUCAACACUAAACAAGCCCGUCUUUCGUAGUAUCUAACAACAUUUUCUACCCGCAUUACUGACUAAGGAAUGAAAAUUAUGCAAUUUUUGGUCUUCGCCGUGGAUCCCAGAUACGUCUUUGCCGUGGAUCACAGAAAGUGUGCAAUUUUUGGUCUUUACCCUCAUUUUCUACACGCAUUUUGACCAAGGUUGCAUCAAGUCAACCUAAAUCACCUACCAAUAUCUCAACAUUAUUAUUAUUAUUAUUAUUAUUAUUUCAUUUUGACCAAGGUUACAUCAAGUCAACCUAAAUCACCUUCCAAUAUCUCAACAUUAUUAUUAUUAUUAUUAUUUUUUGGUGAACAUAUCUCAACAUUAUUAGUAUACCGUAAUUCGCUCUUAUCUCUCUCUCUCUCUCUCUCUCUCUCUCUCUCUCUCUCUAAAAUUUACAAUGAAUCAAAACCUUUGCAUCUUCAUUCUGAUCUUCCUUCUGAUCUUCCUUCUCUCAUCAGAAACCCCAGCAUUUGCAGUGGACUUUUACUACCAAAACUGCAGCGUCCCCACAACUUGUGGCCGCCAAAAAAUCAGCCACCCGUUCUACAUCCAAGGCAGGCAACAAGACUUCUGCGGCUACCCCGGUUUCCAGCUCUCCUGCCAGGGCGGCGCAGACGACGACGAAGAAGAAGCCUACCCACUUCUCCGGUUGUCUGGAAACGAUUACAUAAUUCACAACAUCAGUUACGAAAGCCAGACUCUUGUCGUCUCAAAUGCUCUACUUUCGCACUACUUGGACAACUCUUCCUGCACUAAUCUCUCACUGAUCCAUAAUUUAACCCUCCCUAAUGAACAGUUUGAGCUGGGUCCAAACCAAGAUCAGUUCUUUCUGCUCUACAACUGCAGCCCUUCGUUAGUCGAUUAUUUUCCAAAGUACAAGAUUGGUUGUAAUAACACUUCGGUUCUUGCUCUGCCUCGGCAGAUAUAUCCGAAAUUUGGAGGUCUUGUGGAUGUUGAAAAUUGUGGAUCGAGUGAGGUGGCGGUGGCGCAUGGUGGAGGGUAUGGCAAUGAUGAGGCGGCGGGAAUGAAGGAAGUGUUGGGAAGAGGGUUUGAGAUGAAAUGGAUGGCUGGUGACUGCAGCCGCUGCCAGAGGAGUGGAGGGCUAUGUGGGUUUAACUUCACCACCCACCUUUUUAGGUGCCUCUGCCCCAAAAGGACCCAUUACGUGAGCUGCGAGAAGGAAAAUGACGAAGGUUAACUCUCUCUCUUUGUUCACUCUUUUUCUCAUUUUUUUUAACAUGAACUAUGAAAUGUUAGAUAAUUACUACGCGGCAUACAUGAUUUAGGCCAAUUAAUUAACGCAGUAUGUUGCUUUGUUACACUCAAAUUCAAAUUCACCUCUACAGAUUAGAGUACUUUAGAAUAUCGUUUAAUUUUGAUACAAAGAUAAUUGGUAUGGGAUAAUUGUCCCACUUGCCCAACUCUCCUGUGCAAAAAGUUGAAAAAUCUCAUCCAGUCUAACUCCUACCAUGAAUUAGAUUUCAAAGGAAAAAAGGGUGGCUGCUGGCUGGAAGUUGAAUAUAGUCACGUCUAAUCAAAUAUUAAAGAGAAGAUCGUCCGUGAAGUCAAAUCUGAACCUCACAACGUCCUCACAACGUCACGAUUUAAAAAAUAUCCUUCACGAUUAUUUGUGAUAAAAACUAUUUGAAACUUAGUCACAUAAUCUUAUUGUUAGUGUGUGUAAUUCUGUAUUAAUCUAGUUGUCCUAACCAAAAUUUUAAAUUUGGUUUUUGAUUAUGAUAUGAGAUAAUGAUCAUUGUGCAGGACCUGGAACUGGAAACUUAGUCGCUAAAGUCUCAAUAGGUAAUUAUAACUUGCUUAGAUUAGUUUUUCUAAGUUUAUGUGUUGUAAUAAGGUUUAUAGCAUGUCUGCAAUGGCUACCAUUCGAUCGAAUAAAUCACCAUAUUCACCGUAUAUUUAUCAGGUGCAGUUGCUGGUCUCAUAUUUCUAAUCGUUAUUGUUUGCUGCUUAAGAAGAAAGUUGUCAUCAUACAGAUUUCUUUUCUUUCGGAAGAAGCAAACCAGAAUCGUCAAAUUGUAGAGGCCUUUCUAAGGAGCUACGGGCCGCUUCAAGUCCGAAGGUAUAGCUAUUUGGAGGUCAAGAACAUGACCAACUCCUUCAAAGAAAAAUUAGGACGUGGAGGCUAUGGUGCUGUUUACGAAGGAAAGUUAAAGGACGGCUGUCUUGUAGCAGUGAAGGUCUUGACCAAACUAACAGGAGAUGGAGAAGAAUUUAUGAAUGAAGUGGCAGCCAUUAGUAGAACUUCCCAUGUCAACGUCGUCACCUUGUUAGGCUUUUGUUUUGAGGGUUCCAAAAGAGCUCUCAUCUAUGAAUUCAUGCCUAAUGGAUCCCUAGAGAAAUUCAUAUUUGAUUCAAAUACUCCCAAUAUAGGUCAUGAUCACUUGGGAUGGGAAGCAUUGGAUCAAAUUUCACUUGGCGUUGCUCGAGGUUUGGAGUAUUUACAUCGUGGUUGCAACACAAGAAUUUUGCAUUUCGACAUCAAGCCUCACAACAUUCUUCUCGAUGAAAACUUCACGCCAAAAAUCUCGGAUUUUGGCCUUGCCAAAAUAUGCAACAAGAAAGAGAGUAUUGUCUCGAUGUUGGGCGCUAGAGGUACAGCAGGUUACAUUGCUCCAGAAGUAUUUUCUAGAACUUUGGAAAGGUCUCACACAAGUCGGAUGUGUACAGCUAUGGAAUGAUGCUUUCGAAUAUGGUUGGGGGAAGUAGGAACACAGACGAUGAAGCUGAAAAUACAAGUGAAAUAUAUUUUCCACAUUGGAUUUACCAACGUCUUGAAUUGGACGAAGAGCUUGGUAUGCAGAGUAUUACGAACGAGGAAGAUGAAGCAAGAGCAAGGAAGAUGAUGAUAGUGAGCUUGUGGUGCAUACAAACUGAUCCUUCAAACCGGCCAGCGAUGAAGGAAGUGAUAGAUAUGUUGGAAGGGAGUGUUGAUUCGUUGCAGAUACCUCCCAAACCUUACUUGUCUUCUCCUCCAAAAUCCCCAGCAGAUUCUUCUACAGCAUUGGUAUCAAUGAAGUAGAAACCUUGUAUUUUACUUGAACAAAUCUAUGUUUUUCUGAGGCAAUCUAAAUAAUGAAGCAUGCGUUUCAUGUUUGUUUUGUUUUUGUUUUUAUUUUUUACUCUAUAUAUGAAUCAACACAGUAGGAGUGACCCUAUUACUACCCCUCCUGCAAUCAUCUAUAAAUAAAUAUUAGUAAUGUGAAACAUUUGCAUUUGUGGGUCAGACCAGUUGACCAAGGCAGCGUGCCCGUUUCAUCUCCCUGGUUUAAUCAUAGGCCCAAAAAUUUGAAGCUGGGACGGUUGAACUAAUCUUGGACCGAUUUUGGUUGCUUGGAAGGCCACGAGAGCAAGUUGGGCCACGGGAGUGGGCUGCUCAGCAAGUGGCGCACAUGGGUGCGAGGCUAGGGCUCGACUUGGCAACGUGUUGGGCUCGCGUUGGGUUUGGGCGACUCGGGCCGGUUAGGCUUGGGCCCUUGAAGGUUUAAGUGGCACAACUUGGGCUUGGGCUUGGCCUUGGUGACGUGGGUUUUGCCGAGGGUGGCCACCGUGGUGGUUGCCACACCGGUGCCUCGUAGGGGUGGUGCCACUCCACUCAUCAUUGUGUUGAGCCUUGUAGAUCGACGUGGUCCUAAUUCUUGAACGUUGGAAUUUCCAUUCAUCGAGGUUUCCAAAUCCCUUGCCAUUGUACUUUUCUUCGAAUAAUUUUUAGAAAUAAAAAUUCUAAGAAUAAGAGCAUACAAAAAAUCUACAAAUGAACAAGAAAACAAAAAACCUUGGAUGCGAAAGUCUUCUACUAGUGUGUGACUCAACUCUCAAUGAAAACACCAAUUUGUGGAUGCAAAUUUCUUCAUUCUUGUUCUUAGACGAAAAUGCCCCAGCAAAAACAUUUAACACUUUAGGUUAAGGUCAAAAGCCUCAUGUGCCCACAAUGAAUGGGGGGAGCUUUGGCCAAAGAACAUCCGAUGCCAAAUUUAAAAUUUUGGGGGAAAAGUGUUUAGAGAAUUUGGAGAAUUUUGUAAGGGGAUUCAACUUAGGUUUUUUGAAGAAAUAAGGUGGUAUUUAUAGGGUUGUGGCCGGCCCCUUUUGGAGAGGUGGGAACCGGCCACCUUUGGUGGUUUUUGGGUGUAAUUGAUUAGGAAAUUAAUAUCUUGCAAUCAAUUAGGAAAUUAAUUAGAAAAUUAAUUAAUUAAUUUAGGUAAUUAAUCCUAUUUUGAAUGAAUAUUUGGAGGUUACCUUGUAGGGAGGAUUUGAUGAGGAUGAAUGAAAUAAGUUUUGAAUAAAUACCUAUUUGGAUCACUUUUGACCUUGAUUGAGUGGUAAUUGUCCGUUGCUCACGCAUAUGAGUUCUGAUGUGCCACGAGGGUAAUCUUGUAUUUUUACCAAAAAAUCCACGUGUCGCCUCCAUAUUUUUCUUAAUUAUUUUAGGCUCCACAAUGUCCAAUCCAAUCCUUUCUUAAAUUUAAUAUUGAAGCCCUGUUUGGUAUUUAGGAUAAGAUUGCAUUGAUAAUUCUCUAAUUUCAAGGUAUUAUUAGGGGAGAAAUAAAAAAAUUAUGUCCAACUUGGGUUAGAAGACGGAUUACCAUGAAGAAAACUUAUACAAUGUAGUCAUCUCCAAAAUGAGAGAAUUAGGAGGGAUGAGUUUUUUUUUCAUAUCUAGUAGUUUUCUAUUCCGUUCUCUGUAAAAAAAAAAAAACAAAUUCAUUUAUACUUUCAACUUAUACUUUCAGUAUGCCUUGAUGUUGUAAAAUUAUCCAUUACAAUCCAAUUUUACAUACUAAACAAGCCCGUUUUUCCUAGUAUCUAACAACAUUUUCUACCCGCAUUACUGACCAAGGAAUGAAAAGUACGCAAUUUUUGGUCUUUGCCGUGGAUCCCAGAAAGUAUGCAAUUUUUGGUCUUUGCCCACAUUUUCUACACGCAUUAUUGACCAAGGUUACAUCAUUUCUCUCUCUCUCUCUCUUUAAAAUUACUGUACUGUUAUUCGUUCUCAUUUCUCUCUCUCUCAAAUUUACAAUGAAUCAAAACCUUUGCAUCUUCAUUCUGAUCUUCCUUCUCUCAUCAGAAACCCCAGCAUUUGCAGUGGACUUUUACUACCAAAACUGCAGCGUCCCCACAACUGGUGGCCGCCUAAGCAUCAGCUAUCCGUUCUACAUCCAAGGCAGGCAACAAGACUUCUGCGGCUACCCUGGUUUCCAGCUCGCCUGCCAGGGCGGCGCAGACGACGACGAAGAAGCCUACCCACUUCUCCGGUUGUCUGGAGACGAUUACAUAAUUCACAACAUCAGUUACGAAAGACAGACUCUUGUCGUCUCAAAUGCUCUACUUUCGCACUACUUGGACAACUCUUCCUGCACUAAUCUCUCACUGAUCCAUAAUUUAACGCUCCCUAAUGAACUGUUUGAGCUGGCUCCAAAGCAAGAUCAGUUCUUUCUGCUCCACAACUGCAGCCCUUCGUUUGUCGAUUCUUUUCCAACGUACAAGAUUGGUUGUAGUAACACUUCGGUUCUUGCUCUGCCUCGGCAGAUAUAUCCGAAAUUUGAAGGUCUUGGGGAGGUUGAAAAGUGUGGAUCGAGUGAGGUGCCGGUGGCGCAAGGUGGAGGGUAUGGGAAUGAUGAAGCGGCGGGAAUGAAGGAAGUGUUGGGAAGAGGGUUUGAGAUGAAAUGGCUGGCUGGUGACUGCAGCGGCUGCCAGAGUAGUGGAGGGCUAUGUGGGUUUAACUACACCACCCACCUUUUUAGGUGCCUCUGCCCCAACAGGUCCUUUUCUGUGUUCUGUAGGGGCGAAGAAGGUUAGUCUCUCUCUCUUCACUCUUUUUUUUCUCUCUUUUUUACAUGCAAUAUGAAUUGUUAGAUAAUUACUACGCAGCAUACAUAAUUCAGGCUAGUUCAUUAACACAAUAUGUGGCUUUGUUGUAAGACUAAACUUAUCAUAAAUAUAAGUUAAGAGAUUAAGCUCAUGAACCACAAAUUUAUACAAGUAUUAAAAUCACAAUUCGAUAAACAUAAUGACAAACUAACCCGUAAAAACAGUAGAAGAGAAGCCAAAGCAGACUUCUAAACAGUGCACCUUCUCCUCUCUUACAAAACCAAAAGUACUCAAACUAACAAUAGGUCUUAGUUCAAUAUUGAGCGUGUAUUUUGUGAGAGCAGUGUCUACUAUUUAUAAUAGAUUAAUCCUAAUAAUUCUCCUAUUCGAAACAUCAUAGGAUACCAACUAUGAAUCCAAAUCAUAUCUGAAUUACAAUCCUACAAGAAUUAGGAUAGUUUUAAGCUUUCUAGCAAGAAUUUUCUAUGUCAAUUGAAACACUACAACCGGCUAUAAUAUUUAAUUUCAUACUCAUAUUCUAACAUUUGUUACACUCGAAUUCAAAUUCAUCUCUAUAGAUUAGAGUAGUUCAGAAUAUCGUUUAAUUUCGAAACGAAGAUAAUUUCUGGUAUGGGGAUAAUUGUCCCACUUGCCCAACUCUCCUGUGCAAAAAGUUGAAAAAUCUCAUCCAGUCUAACUCCUACCAUACAUUAGAUUUCAAAGGAAAAAGGGCGGCUGCUGGCUGGAGGGUUGAAUAUAGCCACCUCUAAUCAAAUAUUAACGAAGAAGAUGGUCCGUGAAGUCGAAUCUGAACCUCUACAUCAUCACGAUUUAACGUGAAAAAUAUCCUUCACGAUUAUUUGUGAUAAAACCAUUUGAAACUUAGUCACAUAAUCUUAUUGUUAGCGUGUGUAAUUCUGUAUUAAUCUAGUUGUCCUAACCAAAAUUUUAAAUUUGGUUUUUGAUUAUGAUAUGAGAUAAUGAUCAUUGUGCAGGACCUGGAACUGGAAACUUAGCCGCUAAAGUCUCAAUAGGUAAUUAUAACUUGCUUAGAUUAGUUUUCUAAGUUUAUGUGUUGUAAUAAGGUUUAUAGCAUGUCUGCAAUGGCUACCAUUCGAUCGAAUAAAUCAUCAUAUUCAACGUAUAUUCAUCAGGUGCAGUUGCUGGUCUCAUAUUUCUAAUCGCUAUCAUUUGCUGCUUAAGAAGAAAGUUGUCAUCAUAUAGAUUUCUUUUCUUUUGGAAGAAGCAAAACCAAAAUCGUCAAAUUGUAGAGGCCUUUCUAAGGAGCCACGGGCCGCUUCAAAUACGAAGGUAUAGCUAUUUGGAGGUCAAGAACAUGACCAACUCCUUCAAAGAAAAAUUAGGACAUGGAGGCUAUGGUGCUGUUUACAAAGGAAAGUUAAAGGACGGCUGUCUUGUAGCAGUGAAGGUCCUGAUCAAACUAACAGGAGAUGGAGAAGAGUUUAUGAAUGAAGUGGCAGCUAUUAGUAGAACUUCCCAUGUCAACGUCGUCACCUUGUUAGGCUUUUGUUUUGAGGGUUCCAAAAAGCUCUCAUCUAUGAAUUCAUGCCUAAUGGAUCCCUAGAGAAAUUCAUAUUUGAUUCAAAUACUCCCAAUAUAGGUCAUGAUCACUUGGGAUGGGAAGCAUUGGAUCAAAUUUCACUUGGAGUUGCUCGAGGCUUGGAGUAUUUACAUCGUGGUUGCAACACAAGAAUUUUGCAUUUCGACAUCAAGCCUCACAACAUUCUUCUCGAUGAAAACUUCACGCCAAAAAUCUCGGAUUUUGGCAUUGCCAAAAUAUGCAACAAGAAAGAGAGUAUUGUCUCGAUGUUGGGCGCUAGAGGUACAGCAGGUUACAUUGCUCCAGAAGUAUUUUCUAGAAACUUUGGAAAGGUCUCACACAAGUCGGAUGUGUACAGCUAUGGAAUGAUGCUUUCGAAUAUGGUUGGGGGAAGUAGGAACACAGACGAUGAAGCUGAAAAUACAAGUGAAAUAUAUUUUCCACAUUGGAUUUACCAACGUCUUGAAUUGGACGAAGAGCUUGGUAUGCAGAGUAUUACGAAUGAGGAAGACGAAGCAAGAGCAAGGAAGAUGAUGAUAGUGAGCUUGUGGUGCAUACAAACUGAUCCUUCAAACCGGCCAGCGAUGAAGGAAGUGAUAGAUAUGUUGGAAGGGAGUGUUGAUUCGUUGCAGAUACCUCCCAAACCUUACUUGUCUUCUCCUCCAAAUCCCCAGCAGAUUCUUCUACAGCAUUGGUAUCAAUGAAGUAGAAACCCUGUAUUUUACUUGAACAAAUCUAUGUUUUUAUGAGGCAAUCUAAAUAAUGAAGCAUGCGUUUCAUGUUUGUUUUGUUUUUGUUUUUAUUUUUUCCUCUAUAUAUAUAUAUAUAUUACUAAUGUGAAACAUUUGCAUUUGUGGGUCAGACCAGUUGACCAGGGCAGUGUGCCCGUUUCAUCUCCCUUGCGCCAAGUUCGGAUCCACUUCUCCAUAAAUCAAAGCAUUUUAGAAUAUUUUGUCAAAAAAAAAAAAAGAAGGUGAAAACAAUUAUUUCGUGUUAAAAGUUGUCUACCAUACAGCUAAAGCUAGGAUCCAACUUAUUGUGCGAAAUUUGAUGUUGUCACGAAUGGAAUGAUCGAGUAGAUGGAACAGUUCUUGCGAAGCCACGUGAAUGUAUUUUGACAAACAGUGAAGAGAAUUGGAGUCGUGUUGAAUUUCAAGAUUUUUGGAGCACCUUUGGCAAUGAGUGAAUAGGCAAGUACCCCAUUACUUGAAAAGUUGCUUUAUGGUGGUGCUUGAUGAAUUUUCAAGCGAAAAACGUAUUGCAUAUGAUCAACCUAAGCAAAACUAUCCAUGCACACUGUCAAUACGAUUGACCAAAAAAAAAAAAGAUUCAAAAAGUGAGUAGUUGAAAAUAAGCUUUUUGAUAAGCUCACUUUGAAGAGAGUCUCAAACUGAUGAAACUGCAAGUCGGUGAAAAACAUUUGAAAGAUAACAAAAUCAUGGUUACAAAAUGACGUACAUUCAAGAUAUAAACUUUUGCAAGUUGUAUAUUACGCUUCCUUCAACCUCGCCCACCCUACACAUAAAAAGACAUUAAAAUUAAAGUCGUCUCCGAACUCUAAGUGCACUUGUAUUAUUUUGAGGGAUUAAACCAUUCAUUUCUACGAUCAGAUCCUACUUUAGAACAAAACAAUCAACGAUAUGGCUCCAAAGUAAAACGAAUUAACAAUCGAUUGAUGCUACUUUUGAUAACAUAACCUACAUUUGGGCAUGUGAACAUCAAAGUCAUAUCAACAAGCCACACACGGCUAUCAUGAGUUUUCAUGAAAUUUGUGUUUUGCUAGAAUUUUUGAAAUGCACAUGCCGUAUCAUUAACAAAGCAUAUUUUAAUGGAUCUGAUUAUCUCCUCUCCAUUAUUCUUAUUCGAACGCUCAAGAAUAAUUCACACCAUCAUCUUGUUUUAUCUUCUCUGAAAAAAGAGAGAAAACCGAGAGAGGAGAGAAGGGGAGGGAGAGGAGGAGAAAAGGAACGAGAGAGAAUCCAAUUUCAUUUUAAGGCACUUUGUCAAUAUCAUAUGUGAAAGCACGCAAUGUAGCAACCUUAAGCAAGAAAUGAUAGAUUGAUUUUAUUCUUACUUUUGAGACAAAUCUUUAGUAAAGUUGUUUGACUAAGACAACUCUUGAAUCAAUAUAAAAUUGGUUAAAAUUAAAAGGCUAAAUAGUCAAAAUUGUCUCUGAAACUUGCAUAAUCAAUAGAAAUAGUUAUUGAGAUUGAAAAUCAAUAGAAAUAGUCCUUGAGAUUGUCCACCAUCCAUGAUUUUGGUCAUUCUGUUAAAAACUUGUUUAGGCCCAAAAUAAUAGUUUGGGCCGAGUAGAGAAUCAUUCUCGGCCCGGAAGGCCUUGCGGCAUGGAUCGUUCAGUACGUGGGCCUCCAAACCUAGGUCGGCUAGGUCAGGACGUAGGAUAAGUCAAGUCCUGGUGCAAUAAGGAGUCUCGGCAUGAUUAAUAACCCGAGAGCAAAUCCGGCUCAAUAAAGGACUAGGUUCAUAGUCAUAAUGAAAGUAGGAUUGGUCGAGUCAGUUUUGAUUGGGAGAAGAAGUCCUAGUCCGAAUGGGGUUUUAACUCGACCAUGGGGGGAGCCGUUGCUAUAAAUAGAAGAGGAUGUGCAUUAUUCGAAGCCCCUGCAAUUCAAUACAAAACUGCCAUGCGCAAACUCUCUCAACAACUUGAGAUUUUUUCCUUCUUUUUUCGCUGACACAUCUUCCGUUGGCAUCAACAGCAUUGUGAAAGCAACCGGUGAUAUCUUAAGUCGGCAUAGAUAGCUCUGUCACCGUAGAAUCAGCCGGUCUCGCAGCAUCUUCUAUUGGCAUCAACAGCACUACGGCGGGGACGGUUGAUUACCUAUCCAAGUCUCGGUCGAGAAGGAUUUCUGAAUCCUUAUUGGUCGAGGUCAUCUCAUCAGCCUUCUCGGCAAAGUGAGGUGUUACAGUUAUUACAUUCGGCACAUUGAAAGCCGAAUUUGAUUCGUGAACUUCGUAAGAAUAGUAGCCUUGUCUUCAGGCUCGAGAAUCCAAGAGGCCGAGACGUGUUCCUUUCUCGGCCGCAAUCGUAAAACGCAGAAGUCAGUCGCGCACCCAACGCAACAUCAACAAAUUUACUCCUCAGUCGAGCUCGGCUGACGAGUUGGCACGCCCCGCAUUCACCAAAUGACGUAGUUAGCUUAUAGAUUACUCGGCCUGCGCGCCACGUAGGCUUGGUAGUUUCUAUGGUCAACAUUUUGGCACGCCCAGUGGGACCCAGUGCUAAACUACGAAGUUCAUGCCAAUUGAAACACGAUCGGUAAAAAAGAAAACAGCUAUGGGAAAGUCGACAACCGAUCUACCAACUCAGAACAUAGGACACAAUGUGCCACAAGCGCAGAAUCUCAUCAGCGCCGUAACACCUGAGUCCACGAGCGCAACUCGCCGAGAAAGGGAAGUUAAUCUCGACGGUCAGGUUCGCAGUCUUGAAAUUCCCGACAGGAACACUUGCGUUCUCAAUGAAGGAGUAAUAGAAGAUUGUGAUGAAGAUGGUGGCGAAGGAUCCGAUCCACCCACAAGGUCGUUUCUUCGAAAACGGCUUGACGAGUAAUCUCGGACGGUUGAACAGACAUUGAGUCGAGGAAUCGAUAAGCUUCAUGACGUGAUACGUAAUUCCAGUGAAGCAUAAACCAGAUUACUCGAAAUACUGGUUAGUAAGGUCAGCGAUGGUAGAACUUUCGAUCUUGCCCAGCAUUUACCGCCGAGGAAUAAUCUAUUAUCAAGUGCAUCGGCCGAGCCAAUUCCUGGUCGGCUCAGGCCAAUUCAAUUGGAAAGAGGAGGAGGGUCGAAUAGUAGGUCAGACGGAUCCAACCAGAGAGUGGAAGUAACACCCGUCGAUAUGACCGAAGUUCAACCAGAGAGUGGAAGUAACACCCAUAUCCAGCUUACGUAGAACAGGUCGAAUACCCUAGAGGUUUCAAGAUCCCGGAUUUUAGCCUUUUUGCCAGAGAAUCAUCUUUAUCCUCGUUAGAACAUGUAGUUCGCUUCACCGCACAAUGCGGAGACGUUAAUAGUGACUUUCACAAGCUGCGACUUUUCAAUUUUUCGUUGACCGGUUCAGCAUUCGCUUGGUAUAUUAACCUCCCACCGAACUUCGUCCAGAGUUGGGAGGAGUUGGUCGAGAAAUUUCAUGAGCAGUUUUAUCGGCCAGGAAUGGAAAUGUCAGUAUCCUCACUAGCAAGGAUGGCUCAGGCGUCCGACGAGUCACCAAUGAAUUAUCUUACUAGAUUCAAAUCAGUCAGGAAUUGGUGCCGAGUGCCUCUCUCCGAAGUUGAAUUCGUCAGACUUGCUCUGAACGGUCUUGACGUCGAAUACAAAAAGAAAUUCUUGGGGGCAAACUUUCGGGAUAUGUACGAAUUAGCCCAACAUGUCGAGCAAUAUGAUUAUUUGCUCCGCGAGGAAAAGAUUUCAAAAGCUCCAUCUCGGGGGACGAUUUACAAGAAUUCUACUGUCAAUUAUGCAUCAACCGAGGAUGAAUGCGUUAGUGUGGAUGCAACUGAGAUAGUGAUAGAUAAGCCAUACGUUUGCAAGGCACUGACUCAAGUUGACUCUAAGGAAGUCAAAAUCCGCUCGGCUACUGAAGGAACACUGAAACCGUCAAAAGUUUAUACUUUUGAUAUUACAAAGGCUGAUGCAAUUUUUGAUCAACUGUUAUCAGCGAGGAUCAUCAAACUUCGGCCUGGGCACAACAUUCCCAAGGCCGAAGAGCUUAAAGGAAAGAUAUAUUGCAAAUACCACAAUUCAAGCAAACAUACGACAAACAAUUGCGUCGUGUUUCGAGACAACGUCCAAAGCUGGAUUGAUAAUGGCAAACUGAAAUUUCCAGAGAAGAAGAUGAGUGUUGAUACUGACCCGUUCCCCACGGCAACAGUAAAUAUGGUCGAUGCGUGCCUACCUAAAGACAAAGGGAAAGGGAAGGCCGAAGUUGUUGCAACGCAACGCUUUCGGAAUCAGAAUUCUCGGCCACGUUUCAUGGCCGAUUUUCGUUCAACGAACCACCUACAGCUUUAACGGGACCCGCUAUUGUCAAACCUAUGAUGGAUUAUAGCACCGAUGAAGACAGUGGGAUGGCGGUUUUGUGCAGUAAAUGUAGAGCAAAGGUCGGCAGUGAGCCAGAGGAGAAGCCCUAUUCGCUUAUAACGGAACGACCUACGGCCGCAACCCAGCAAAAGGUUGCCAACGUAGGCCAACAUCAAGGGGUUUUUGAUAGGCUCGGUCCUAAAGUGAGGAUGGAAGAGACACAUUCAGUCAGGCGGCGCCUUGAUUUUGAUGCUUCAUUUUAUGACGAGGACUACUAUAAACGUAAUUCUAGCAGUUCGGAAUCAUCGCGGAGCCAAAAAACUUUCAAACCUCCCGAACCUAAAGAUCAACGUUGGUAUACAUAUCAUUCUUCGAAAGGCUUCUACACCGCACUAUCCAAAUCCCAGAAACGCCGGCACCAAAGGAUAGAUUGCAUGGCCCGUCGACGGGCAGCCCAAGAAACUUUGAUCCCUAAAUGGCGGCCGAAGGACACAAUUGCUACUGAUGAUGAACGACCACCUCCAGCUAUUAUGACAGAGUUGGUUCAAGGGAAACGGCUGGUUAACCGAGAUGUCGAAACCACGUUCGAAGAGGCUGAUAAACGGAUCAAACUUCUUCUUCGGUCGGGGGAGAUGAAGGCACGCCUCGAGCAUUUCAGGCAAGAGGCCGAAAGCAAAUUAGCCCCGCCGGCCAUACAAGAACCUUUGAUCAAAAUUCGACGGAAUUUGCAUCCGUUGUUCCUCGGGGAGGCUUUGGAAUAUAUGCGAGAAUUUCAUAAGAAACAUUCGGCCAAUGAUCUGUAUGGUUUGCCGAAGGCAUGUCAAGACACAAUUGAUCUAGUCCUGACUUGUCCUGAUGCCGAGCGAAUCAUUUAGAAGACCUCAGACCUAGGAUUGAAAGCAAGGUUCCAGCACAUACAAGAAGCUCGUGUCCUUGGAUUUGAAGUCGACCCAUACACUGAUAUCGAUGCAGCCGACCUUCAUUUCUCAAUUGAGGACCUUCAGUAUUUACGAUAUCACUUCGAAGUAUUUUUUGUUGUUUCUCUCUUCGGCCUUACGACCGAUAAAAUAGCACGUGUUGCAUGAUUGGAUGCUUAUCUCGACACCAGGGAUGCCCGGAUACACUACCAGAAGCAGACUCGGAUCCUGACCCCAAGCACACUGUCGAUCUCAACCUCACCUGAGGCAAUCACGCAGAACCAACAAGCUGCCGAAGCAGCACCGCAGGAUCAAACCAUUGAAGAAUGAGCAGAAUAGUCUCUUUGUCCAACUCUGACAACAACGGAGGCCGUAGUCGCCGACCAGACGAGAGAUGAGGCUAGCGAGGAGGGUCCUAACCCGAUGGGUCCGUCAGUCCUGGAUAACAUGGAAAUCAGUAUGGUCCAUGUGUUACCCGCUGAUUUUCAAUCAAGCACAGCUCAGCCGAAUUUCCUCGAUGGUGAUGUAGUCGCCGAGGAAGCCGGCCAUGUUGAUUUUGUAUUUGUUGCUGAAGUUGAGUCAACAACAAAAGAUGAUAGUCUGUAGGCAGCUUUGGCCGAAUUGUUUCCUCGUUCAUCAUCGGCCAAACUUCACCAUUUAAAGCCAUUGUAUGUGACGGCCCACAUCGAGGGAUAUCCAAUUUCUAAAGUUUUUGUCGACUGUGAAGCUACCGUCAAUAUCAUGCCUAUGAACAUCAUGAAGGCCUUACGUCGCUCUAAUGACGAACUUAUUCCGUCAGGGAUCACAAUGAGUAGUUUCGUCGGUGACAAAUCCCAAACCAAAGGUGUACUUCCGUUAACAGUGAAUAUUACCGGUCGUACUCACAUGACCGCCUUUUUCGUGGUUGAUUCCAAAACCGAGUAUAAUGCACUGCUCGGUCGAGAUUGGAUUCACCAAACCAGCUGUAUUCCUUCCUCAUUGUAUCAAGUGCUCGUUUUUUGGGACGGCAAAUCGGUCACUGUUCACCCAGCCGAUAGCCAACCCUUCGAAACUAACAUGAUCUAAGCACGGUAUUAUGAUGACCACGUCGGCUACAUUACUUUGCAAGGCUUCAAUGAUGAAGGACGGUCGACUCGGAUUUCUGUUCAGAAAGCUAUCGAGGUUGGCGCCGAGACUGUCCACCAGGAUUCGGCGAGACUCGGAUUAGCCAACUUCCUCCCCAAAGCUGAUGUUUGACACCGAUUGGGAAAAACGUAAGGCCGCAGUUUCAUCUACUAUGGAACGACUGCUGGCCCAUUGGUAUACUAUAUCUAAACAACCAAAUUCGGGCGUUAACCUCGUCGAGUUCCUUGCCGAAUGAGAUAAUGGUCCUGUCUUAUCUCUUGACAAAAUUCAAGCCGCCCCGGUCGAGCUCGAAGAUCAUCAACCCCAAGUUAAAGACCCCCUGGAAGAGAUUAACGUUGGGACGGCCGAUGACCCACGACCUUUGUUUAUUAGUGCUUUACUUCCCCAACAAAUGAAAGACGAACUUCGUGCCUUUCUUACGGAGUUCAAAGAUUGUUUUGCUUGGAGCUACCAUGAAAUGCCCGGCUUAGAUCGUACUCUUGUCGAGCAUGAAUUACGUAUUAAGCCCAGAUGUAAACCUUUCCGUCAGCCACCUCGUCGAUUCUCGACCGAAGUACAACUCGGCAUCAAGGAUGAACUGGUUCGACUUUUGAAAGCCGGGUUCAUUCGGACAGCUCGAUAUGUGGAAUGGUUGGCGAAUAUUGUUCCUGUCUUAAAGAAAAAUGGUGCACUGCGCAUCUGCAUCGAUUUCAGAAAUCUGAAUCUGGCAACUCCCAAAGAUGAGUAUACAAUGCCGAUUUCAGAUCUGUUAAUCGAUGCCGCGGUGAAUCAUGCGAUCUUAUCCUUUAUGGAUGGACAUGCCGGGUACAACCAAAUUUUCAUUGCCGAAGCCGAUGUGCACAAAACUGCUUUCCGCUGCCCGGGGGCACUCGGCACUUACGAAUGGGUUGUUAUGCCAUUCGGCCUCAAAAAUGUCGGUGCCACAUACCAACGGGCAAGGAACACCAUAUUUCAUGAUUUAAUUGGAACCAUCGUCGAAGUCUAUAUCGACGAUGUUGUAAUUAAAUCCAAACAACGGCGGACUCAUCUGGAUGAUCUCCGACAGGCUUUCCUUCGUAUGCGCCAACACAACCUCAAAAUGAAUCCUGCCAAAUGUGCAUUUGGUGUGUCGGCCGGUAAUUUUCUCGGUUUCCUGGUACAUCACCGUGGGAUUGAAGUGGACGAAAAUGAAGCACGUGCAAUCAUCAAUGCUCAACCCCUAACGAUGAAGAAACAAUUGCAGUCCUUACUCGGCAAGAUAAAUUUUCUCCGCCGAUUUAUAGCUAACUCGGCAGGGAAAAUGAAAGCGUUUUCGACGCUUUUAAAACUUAAGGACUCAGAUGAGUUUGAGUGGACCGACGAGCAUCAGGCCGCGUUUACACAAAUCAAGGUCUCCCUCGUGACACCACCUGUCCUUGUUCCACCCCAGCGCGGUAAACCUCUCAAACUUUAUAUUUCGACGGUUGAAAAGUCCAUUGGCUGCCUCCUCGCCCAAGACAACGAUGCCGGGCGGGAGCAGGCUAUUUUUUACCUCAGUCGAAGUCUUAAUCCACCAGAGAUCAAUUAUUCCGCAGUUGAGAAGCUCUGUCUCGCCGUGUUCUUUGCUGUCUCCAAGCUUCGGCAUUACAUGCUUCCGUCGGUCACACAAGUCAUCGCCCAGACCGACGUCAUCCGAUACAUGCUUACCCGACCAAUUGUAAAAGGCCGAAUUGGGAAAUGGACAAUGGCGUUGUCCGAGUUUAGCCUGCAAUAUGUGCCCCAGAAAGCUGUCAAAGGCCAGGCAUUGGCAGAUUUCCUCGCUCAACACCCUUCCCCCUACGGUUUUGGGGACAUGGACGUCGAAAUUUGCUUGGUUGGAACACGCGAUAACUACUGGAUGAUGUAUUUUGACGGUUCAAGCACUUCAUCCUCGGCCGGCGUUGGUAUUGUCCUUCAAUCCCCUAACCACGAUCGUUGGUAUUUUUCGCUCAAGUUGGAUUUCGACUGCACCAAUAAUCAGGCCGACUAUGAAGCUCUUAUCAUCGGCCUGGGCAUCCUCCAUGACUUGCAGGCCACCCACGCCCUCGUCCUCGAUGACUCUAAACUCGUGAUUAACCAACUUAAUGGGUCUUUUCGCUGCAUGAGUUAUACCCUAGCACCCUACCACAUGGUUGCCAGCUAUUUGGCCGAAUCCUUCGACGGUAUUACGUUUGAGCAUAUUUCCCGGAUCCAUAAUAUCGAUGCGGACGAGUUGGCUCAAAUUGCCUCUGGUGCACAAUUCCUGGGGGGCAAGCUAGGACGGGAGAUACCGGUGUUACGACAGCUAUACCCGGCCUUAGUUAACCAGCAAAUCCUCCGGCGUGACGAAGUAAUACGCACCAAAGUCAUGUCUCUACCUUCGUUGCUAGACCGACAAGACACUAUAGAGGUUUGUGCCAUCGAGGCAAUACCAGAUGAUUGGAGAAAACCCAUUAUGCAGUACCUUGACAAUCCCAAUGGAAAACAUAGUCGCUGGACACGAGUUCACGCCACGAACUAUGUCACGUACCAAAACGAGUUAUACCGAAAAGGCGAGGAUGGAUUGCUACUGCUAUGCCUCGACCCCCAAGAGGGUGCUCAGGCGAUUACAGAAGUCCAUGAAGGGGUAUGCGGAGCUCAUCAAUCCGGACGGAAAAUGCGAUGGCUACUUCGACGACACGGCUAUUUCUGGCCAAGAAUACUAAAGGAUUGUAUCGAGUUUGCACGAGGAUACGUAUAGUGCCAAAUCCACGGGCCUAUACAAAGGGUCCCGGCCGAAUCGUUGCAUUCGGUCAUUAAACCAUGGCCGUUUAGAGGAUGGGUCAUGGACGUGAUCGGCAAAAUCACGCCAUCUUCUGGAGCUGCCAAGCACGCAUGGAUAACAGUAGCGACGGAUUACUUUACUAAGUGGGUCGAAGCGAAAUCAUAUGCCGAGCUAACGUCUAAAGAAGUUUGUGACUUUGUGGAGGAGCACAUUGUGACCAGAUUCAGCGUGCCGGAAACAAUUAUAACCGACAAUGGCACGAUCUUUACAGCCGAAAGGUUUAGAGAGUAUACGGCAGGUUUGAAAAUUCAGCUUGAACAGUCUACACCGUAUUACCCACAAGCAAAUGGGCAGGCCGAGGCGAGUAAUAAAGUGUUGAUCGGCAUUCUCGAGAAGGUAAUAAAGGAAAGGCCCGGUAUGUGGCAUUUAAAGUUGAAUGAGGUUUUAUGGGCAUAUCGAACAUCACCCCGAUCGGCGACUGGGACAACCCCGUAUGCACUAACUUACGGACACGACGCAAUGUUACCAGUCGAGUUAAGCAUAAAUUCAUUACGGUUGAUUGAGCAAAGUUGUUUAGUUAGCGCCGAAUAUAAUCAGUCCAUGAGACAGGAGUUGGAAGAGUUGGAAGAAGCGCCACUUGAUGCUUACAACCUGUUGGUGGCACAUAAACAGAUUGCCGAACGAGCCUAUAAUAAAAAAGUACGGCAGAAAACAUUUGGCGAGGGUGAAUUAGUUUGGCAAACGGUGUUGCCCGUAGGACUAAAAGAUCCUAGGUUCGGCAAGUGAUCGCCGAAUUGGGAAGGGCCGUUUGUUGUGCAUAAAGUAUACGGCAAGGGGGCAUAUCAUCUUAAAGACCGAACCGGUUUAGUUCACAAAUUACCAAUUAACGGGAAGUUUUUUAAGCAAUACUAUCCGGUCACUUGGGAAAUGCGAGAGUAAAACAUUCAUUUCAAGUGAUAGAAUACAAAGUGAGCUGAUCGAUUGGUGUACAUAAACGUCGAAAUAACGUCAAGGCGAAGAAGGUAGAAGGGUGCCGAGCAGGGCCUUCAGCUCUAACCACCGCACCUCGCCCAUGAUGACCUCGGCCUGCCGGUUCCUCUUAUCCAGCUUCAACUGCUCGACCCGUUUUGUGUUCGCCGCAUACUCGGUUAGGUAAUCUUUGCCGCCCGACUCGAAGUCCUUAGCAAGCUCAGAGGUAAUGGCCGACCUACGUUUCACCAAUUCGGCCAUUUGACGGUCGAGCUCGGCCAAUGUUUCUCCUUUUGCCUUUAAAGCAUCGAUCUUUGGACGGAGAGUGUCUUGGACGGCCGUCGUAGCUUGCAGGUCUUGUUCGGCCUUUAGAGCGUUCUGGAAUAUACUAAAGGCCUCCCGAACCUGCUCCAAGGCAGACGAUGCCCGAACGAUAGCCUCGCCGCUCAGGUGACCAUCGGCUCCGAGGUCGUUCAGACAUGCGCCGAGCAAGUCAAGACAGUUGCGCUCGAGUACUUGCGACGCCGAAAGAGACAGAAAUUCUUGCAACCGAGUUCGAGCGGUUGAAUCGGCAGCUUCAGUCGCGGCGGCCGAAGGACCAGCCUCUUCAGUUGUGCUGGAGAGGAGGGCUCUGAAUUCGACUUCCCAUGAGGCCUGCACACAAAAUACAGUUGAGCUCAAAGAAAUCCUAAAAAAAGAUAGCAUGAAGGUUUCGUUUCUUUUAACCUGACGAGAGGAUACUUCGGCCAUGUCUUCAGGAUCGUUGCUCGAACCUAAAGAGCUUAAUGGCCGAGCCCAGUGUCUUAGGUUGCUUCUCAAUUCACGCAGCCGAUGGAGGUUAUCUACAUUCGAUGGCCAUCGAGGCGGCCAAGAAAUAUAGAUAACACCCUUCAGCGCAUAGAAUUUUCGAUGAAAAUAGUGUGCAGGCACCUGACAUUUAGUAGUUUCCUAGUUUAGAGUUUUUACGGCAGAGAACUAACCAAGAAAAGGCGGAAUGAGGUACUUACAAAGGCCGAAGUAACCUCCUGCGGGGGAAUGUUGAUAUCCAGGUCCUGCGGAUGAACGGGCGUCUCCGCCGACGCUUCUGGCUCCCCGACAGGUCGUUUACCGUGAUCGGCCGUAGACGGGCCAACUCGGACAGCAGCUUCAGGCACGGACUGGAGGUCCUGGUCUUGCAGGUGAACGGGUGCGUCCGCCGCCGCUGCUGGCUCUCCGGCAGGUGAUUUACCAUGGUCGACCGUCGUAAGGCCGACUUGGACAGCCGCCUCGGACACGGAAGGAGGUUGACGAUGGGAACGAGGGCGACUCGCCAGAGGCACUUGGUCACUCCCCUCACUCCCUCACGACUCGCCAGAGGCACUUGGUCACUCCCCUCACUCUCCUCCAGAACGACGGCCGCAGGUUUUGCAGAAGUCUUCUCGACCGAGGGGACUACAUUUUCUAAGACAUGUGCAUCCUCGACCAAGGGAACAACAACUGGUUUCCCAACCUUAGAAGCAGGCCGUGCGUAGACCGCUUCCUCGGCCGGAAUUGGCCGAUCCUCGACCAAGGCUUGGGCAACGGGGAGAGAAGGGGACACGCUGGGAGUCGUCGCCCCCGUGGUUUGACUGGAGAUGACGUGAAUAUCCCAUUCUCCUUUCCUUGUCAGCUUCUUGACCCGUUUGGCGGGCUGAGGGGGUUCGACGGUUGGCUCGGCUUCUCGACGAGGCCGUUUACUCGGCAAAGCCUGCGCGGCAACCUCUGCCAUUUUUGAGACGGCCAAUUUUUUCUUGGCCACAGUUACGGCGGCCGCCUCUACCUUUUUCAACGAUCGACCACCUGAUAACGUAAAAGCAAAUCAGCAAAACCGAUCAAUAGCUCAAAAUUGAAAGGAAAAAGGGGAAAAUAAACAGGUACCCUGGGCUUGAGAGACAGAAGUUUUCUUAGGACGAUCACCGAAAAGUUGGUCCAAGACGGUUUCGACCGAAACAUCAAAGAACUCCUAGGUAUACUUUUCCCACCACUCGCCAAAGGUAUCGGUGCUAAGUGUUUCCGGGAUGGCCGAUCGAAGGUGGAAACUUUGGCAUUGCUCUUGAAACUCCCUCUUGGCGAUAUUGCAUUCCUUCUCCGAGGAACCAGUCUCGCGUCCACGGCUUAUGACGGUUCGCGAUGAGAGAAGAGGGAUCGGGCAGCCUUGGAGGUAGCCAAGCUGUCGAGCCAGGAAGUUAGGAUGGUAUACCUCCCAGCCCGCUCGUUUCCCAUCACAGCCAAGAGGAAGGUCACGAGUAAGCACGAAUGACCCCCAGGACUAACGAAGGUCGGCGUCUUCGUCCGCGCCCCACAUUGACGUAGGUAGCUUGAUCGAGGAGGGAUAUUCUCAACGACGGCAUAUCAAGAACUCGUCGUUGGAAAGGUCAUCAAGGGCGAAAAAGUAUCUGAAUACCUCUUCGGCUUGAUGAGGGGGUGUUAGUCGGGAGGCCAGCUGAGGCCCAAGCGCUUCCGUUGGCGAGAAAUCGACGAUUGCCGGCCGAAUGGAGGCGAAGUAAACUUGCACCCAGAGUUGAAAGACCCAGAGGGGACCAUUUUGGUAUGGGUCGAUCUUGUGAAGGGUCGUCUCAACCAGGCAGCGGAAGAGAUGGGCAAGAAUGUUAGGACUAAGUGACAGGACGUGACCACUAGCCAGGGCCUCAGCUACCGGCAUGUUCUCGACCAAGCAUUUGUUCAAUUUGGUACAACAAAUGUACUUGUUGUACCAAUAGAAGAGGAAAGCUUCAUGUUCCCAUUCUCGCAAAGCCUCUUCUCCUCGGCCGGCAAAAUGGAGAUAUAGGGUGUUGUAGUUGAAGAAGUUCUUGUGGAGUUUCUGAACGUCUUCUUUCUAGGGGAUUUGACCCUCACGGCUCAACGUCUCAAAAGCCCGUCGGUCGAAAAGCGUCUUCAGGUCAAGAUUCAACGGGUACCCGAAGAGGGCAGCAUCGAUGGGGAUUCCAGUUGCUGAAGUUCCCAAAAUGGCGGUGACAUCAAGAAUGGUGGGGCCGACGGGACCAAGAGGGAGAACCAUGGUGUUGGUGGCCAAGAACCAGAAGCAUAGGGCGGCUAGGAGAAGCUCCUUGUCGAGAAUGACAUCCAUAGACGAGAGGAUGAUGGCGUCGUAGAUACCGAGGGCCUUCCAUUGCUCGCCGAAAAGCUUUUCCAUUCGAACAACCCAGGCUGCCCAGGUUGUAGUGGUCGAAGGCCAGGAGCCUUGAGGUUUCGCCGCAUCCCAUCUCGACCAUUCAAACCCUUAGAGCAAGGGUGAUAGGCAAUGCUCCUGGAGAAGUCCAGUAAUGGCUGACGGUACUGCCGCUUUAAAAAAAGGACCUAAGAUUUGGUGAGAAGUACUCAUGUCACUUUCAAACCGUAUGGUUUUGAUCGAGCUUCGAUCAAGAAUCUUUUGACACUGAUCACAUUCCCUGGAAAGUUUGGAGAUGAAUGAGGCCAUUGUGGGAAGGAUAAAAAGUAGGAUGUGAAAGGGGUUUUUCUGGGUUGGAGACUUGAAGAUGAAGACUCGGGGAAAAGGAAUGUGCUAGAGCAAUGGCAGAAACUCAGAAAAUUUGAACGCGUAAAGGUACAAAUGAGAGGAUUUCGGUAUUUAUAGGACGAUGAAGGGAAGGGCAAUCGUUCGAAAUUCGAAAUAAAGGGUAGAAUCGACCAAGGAAUUCGCUAAUCAUUAUGAACAUUCAGAAAAUCCAGUUAAAAAGACCGAGGGUUCUUAUUUUGGGGGACGCACGAUUGCGUGUGACGGCGAGAUUUAUGGUGAAAGACGGUUUGGCGUCUGCACGAUGCUGGAUGGUUCGUAGAUCGAGGCAGCGUGGUGGUGUUCAGCAACAAGACCAUGAUGAUAUGACGGUUCAGGGGGCUGCACGCUCCAAAUGUCACUAUGGAUUAACCCUAUAAAAGAAGGCCACGUAGAAUGGUGGUUAGCAGAAUCGAGAUCGUGGGAUCGUGUUCAAUAAAUACACCUCGGAAGGAGAGCAUUUGAGUUUUGAAGUUUCAACUUCGCUUCUUCAAGGCCAAGGCUCAACCAGAGGGUUCAGGCCGAAGGCCUCAGAAGCGAGGGGGCAAUGUUUAGGCCCAAAAUAAUAGUUUGGGCCGAGUAGAGAAUCAUUCUCGGCCCGGAAGGCCUUGCGGCAUGGAUCGUUCAGUACGUGGGCCUCCAAACCUAGGUCGGCUAGGUCAGGACGUAGGAUAAGUCGAGUCCUGGUGCAAUAAGGAGUCUCGGCAGGAUUAAUAACCCGAGAGCAAAUCCGGCUCAAUAAAGGACUAGGUUCACAGUCAUAAUGAAAGUAAGAUUGGUCGAGUCAGUGUUUGAUUGGGAGAAGAAGUCCUAGUCCGAAUGGGGUUUUAACUCGACCAUGGGGGGAGCCGUUACUAUAAAUAGAAGAGGUUGUGCAUCAUUCGAAGCCCCUGCAAUUCAAUACAAAACUGCUCUGCGCAAACUCUCUCAACAACUUGAGAUUUUUUCCUUCUUUUUUCGCUGACACAUCUUCCGUUGGCAUCAACAGCACUGUGAAAGCAACUGGUGAUAUCUUAAGUCGGCAUAGAUAGCUUUGUCACCGUAGAAUUAGCCGGUCUCGCAGCAUCUUCCAUUGGCAUCAACAGCACUACGGCGGGGACGGUUGAUUACCUAUCCAAGUCUCGGUCGAGAAGGAUUUCUGAAUCCUUAUUGGUCGAGGUCAUCUCAUCAGCCUUCUCGGCAAAGUGAGGUGUUACAGUUAUUACAUUCGGCACAUUGAAAGCCGAAUUCGAUUCGUAAACUUCGUAAGAAUAGUAGCCUUGUCUUCAGGCUCGAGAAUCCAAGAGGCCGAGACGUGUUCCUUUCUCGGCUGCAAUCGCAAGACGCAUAAGUCAAUCGCGCACCCAACGUAACAUCAACAAAUUUACUCCUUGGCCGAGUUGGCACUCCCCGCAUUCACCGAAGGACGUAGUUAGCUUAUAGAUUACUCGGCCUGCGCGCCACAUAGGCUUGGUAGUUUCUAGGGUCAACAAAACUCUUUGGGCAAUUUUCAAAGUUUCAUAACUCAAUCGAUUUUUAACUAAAUUCGACCCAUAAUAUAUCAAAAUGAAGAUAGGAAAGUGUAGAACAAGAUUAUACAUAUCUGUAAGCCCAAUGGUUGCCAGAGAUGGCCAGAAAAUAGCAUGAAAGGUGACUGGUCCGCAGGAAAAUUGGAAAACUUGCCGGAAACCAGCUAAACUUUAAACGUUCAUAACUUCUUCAAUACUCAACGAAAUCGAGUGAUUCAAAAACGAAAAUCAUACUUCUUGACGAGAUGAAGAGAAUAAUACCUUUCUCGAUGACUAAAUCGCCAUGAUUUAGCCGAAAAAUGGUUCAAAAAUGGCUAACCAUUUUCGAGUUUAACUCAUCCGUGUAUCGUAUAACUUGUAGACAUCAUCUUUGUUAAACAAAUUAUUGUCAUGACUAUACAUAACUGUGCUCGUAUUAAUCAAGCGUGGCUGUUAUGGUCAAUCCACAAGAAUCGUAAAUUAUAAAUAAAUAACAUAUUUGAGUCGACGACUCAUUUAAUGGAACAUGUGAAACCCUAAAACUUGAACGAGCGAGCACGGAAGAUCGUUUGAUUUACAAGCCAAGAAACACUCCUCUGGUAUGAUCUCGGAGCGGGCCCGAAUAAAUCUACCCACGUCCCCAUGUGUCCGCGCCUCCUCCAUCAGUAAAUGCUAAUGUACGGCAGCACACAAAUACCAUUCCAUGAACCCCCAUCACACUCCCUCUAUUCCCCGAGUAUGAAAUCCAUCAGGUGAUAUGAAACGACAUAAAGUCCUCGCGUUACACGGCUUUAUACGUUACACUGUCACGCUGGCCCCUGGCAGUGAAGGUCAUGGGCAUCCAAGUCAUUUUACGGUAAAUUACAUUGAAGCUCCUCUACUUCCCAAUAAUUACACCAACGGUCCACCAACCCUCAUUAAACUUAUGAACUAGGAUCCUCUCCUGAGCAGUUCUCUAGGGAUCCCGCAAUCUUGUCCGUUCAUUUUAUAUUGUGCCGUCAGUUUUCGUUAGAUACUAUUUAUAUUUGAAUUUUAAAAUUUAAAUUUUAAAUAUUUCUGACCGCGAUAUACGAUGAACGAACAUGAUUGCAGAAUCCCUAGGAUCCCUAGGGAACUGCUCAGGAGAGGAUCUGGUUCUUAAACUUAUACCCAAGAAAUUUCAAUCGUCUCCCUCACUCACUCUCUCUGCUCUCACUUGCAGAGAGCCCAUGGCAGCCACGGCCGCCGUGGCCACUCUUCUCCUCACGAGCUUCUUCUUCGCUGCUCUCCACGUCUCUUCGAAUCCAGAUACCAAACCUCUCCUAUCAUUCAAAGCAACGUCGGACGCAUCCAACAAGCUCACCACGUGGAACUCCACCUCCGUUGACCCGUGCACCUGGACCGGCGUCUCCUGCACCAACAACCGAGUCUCCCGACUUGUCCUCGAGAACCUCGACCUCCGCGGCUCGUUCCAGCCACUCACCGCGCUAACUCAGCUCCGAGUUCUGAGCCUCAAGCGUAACCGCCUCUCCUGCCCCAUUCCGGACCUCUCCAACUUCACCGCCCUCAAACUCUUAUUCCUCUCCUACAACGAACUCUCCGGCAACUUUCCAGCCUCCGUGUCCUCUCUCUUCCGUCUCUACCGCCUCGAUCUGUCCUACAACAACUUAUCCGGCGAGAUUCCCGCAACGGUCAACCAUUUGAAUCAUCUUCUCACUCUCCAGCUCGAGGCGAACCGUUUCUCCGGUUCGGAGCCAUAGCGUCUCCUGUAAUGCCUGCUGCUAACCCAACCGUCGUAGCGUCGUCGCCGAGUUCGUUACCCGGGAACUCAGCGCUGAACAAAUCGGGAAAUCCUCACCGAAGUGGUAGCGCGAAAAUGAGUCCGGAGGCUCUAAUCGCCAUUAUAGUUGGCGACGCUUUGGUUCUCGUGCUGGUUUCGCUGCUACUGUACUGCUACUUCUGGCGGAAUUUCAGCGCCAAAAUGCGGCAGGGCAAGGGCGGCUCGAAGCUUCUAGAAACUGAGAAGAUCGUGUACUCGUCGAGCCCCUACUCCGCCGCCCAACCAGUGUUCGAGCGGGGUCGGAUGGUGUUCUUCGAAGCAGUAAAGCGUUUCGAGCUCGAGGACUUGCUCAGGGCCUCGGCGGAGAUGCUGGGGAAAGGCGGGUUCGGGACGGCGUACAAGGCGGUUCUCGACGAUGGCAACGUGGUGGCGGUUAAGAGGCUCAAGGAUGCUCAGAUUGGCGGGAAGACUCAGUUCGAGCAGCACAUGGCGGUGCUGGGGCGGCUCAGCCAUCCCAACAUUGUGAGCUUGAGGGCUUAUUACUUCGCCAGGGAGGAGAAAUUGUUGGUAUACGAUUACAUGCCCAAUGGCAGCCUGUUCUGGGUUCUCCACGGUAAUUUUUUUUCAGUUUUCCUGCUUAAUUUUUGUUUGGUUGCCAAGAAAUUUUUUCUUUUUCAAAUAUUAGUUUAAUUCUGGGCUUCAAUUUGGUGCCUUGUUUUCUGUAAGUUUAGGUCAAACGGGGUCAAAUUUAGGGUUUUUUUUGUAAUUAUAUAUUUAGGGUUUUACUGUCGGUCCUGUCAACUCCACUUCCGUCUUUAUCUUCCUUUUACUUUUGUCUUUGUUUUUUGCUCCCUUCUUUUCCUUCUUUCCUGCUCUGAAUAUGACCAAAAAGCGCCUAACUCCGCUGCACUCCACGCUUUUACGUAAUUGUCCUUAGUUGUAAUUAUCGUGAACUAACGAUGGCUAACUUGAACAGGAAACCGUGGACCCGGUCGGACUCCGCUGGACUGGACAACGAGGCUGAAAAUCGCAGCCGGAGCCGCUCGAGGCUUGGCCUGCAUUCACGACUCGUGCGGGCCGCUUAAGCUCACCGGUAACAUCAAGUCCACCAACAUCCUCUUAGACAACACUGGCAACCAGAGGCGGAGCCACAGUGGGGUCAAUGGGGUCGCACGACCCCUUGGAAGCCAUGGAAAUAACCUUAGAGGUCCCUUGGAGCUGCUGGUGCGACCCCUUAAAACUGCGGGUGCGACCUCUUGGAGCUGCUGCAUUUUUCUGGGUUUCUUCUGAUUUUCGUUCGGUUUGGCGGAAGAGGAAGACGAAGACUCUCUCUCUUCCUUUCACACCACGUGACCACACACUCCUUAUUUAAUUUUUUUUCUUAGUUUCUCUCCAAUCAGAUUUGUACAGCUAGCAUCAAAUUGCUUGCUUUGUGUAAAAAGCCAUAGGCUGUCAGUUCACCAUUAAGUCUUGGUGCAGAUUGCAAAGUUCCAUGCGUCCACAUCCACAUAUUUGACAUAAAUUAAUGGUAAUGAUGUGUGUGCCCCCUUUCCACAUCCACAUAUUUAACAACUUUAUUUCUCUUUAUAUUCAACAUAAAUUAAUAUGAUCUCUAAAAAAUAUUAUUAUGAACCACCAUAUUGACAUCAGAAUUUUAUGUUUUUUUUUUUUUUUUUUUUGAACAACCAGAAUUUUAUGUUUAUUAUGAACCAUCCAACCCAAUUUUAUGUUUAUUUUUGGUUGUCAGGGAAAGUAAAGGCACCUUUCAGUAUGGUAACUAUCGGCGAGAGGCUGAUCACGCUAUCCUACCAAGACCUGAUGAAAUGACGAUAUGCAUGCCGUUUUUGUUAAAAAAAAAAUUUGCGCUGCGCGCACUAUCCUUGUUGACCCCCCAAACAUUAUUUCCUGGAUCCGCCACUGCUGGCAACGCCUGAGUCUCCGACUUCAGACUCUCCGUUUUCGUGCCUCCUCCGCCCUCCACGUCGUCCGCUCCGCGAUCUUGCGGUUACCGCGCUCCCGAGACGUUGGACGGUCGGAAGUCGACGCAGAAAUCAGACGUGUACGCUUUUGGUGUUCUGCUGCUGGAGCUGCUCACAGGGAAGUGUCCC
rnacentral:lncRNA from 1 species